rnacentral:lncRNA from 1 species
UUGAUCACCUUCUCCUAAACACGUACAUUCACGUGUUUAGGAAUGCAACGGCUAGAAUUUUCUAGCUGUAUUUAAGUAUUAUUUUUAGAAAAAAAAAACUAAAAAAAAACAACCAGUGCAUUCAUUUAAUGUUAUCUUAAAUCAGCCAUACACAAAUAAAUGAAUGCUCAGCUUUAUGUUCUAAGACCUUCCCCUGUAGUUUAGGCUGCAGUUGAGGCAUGAUACCAAAUAAAUUGAACAUUUUAAGCACAGAGUAUGGAGAAAUCAAGGGGCAGAGGUAUGAAUGAAAAUAUUUGGCUGGUGGAGGAAUGAUAGAAUUCUAUGAGCAUUUCAAAAAUUAAUAUCUUAUGAUAUAUUGGAAUCUCUUACCAUAAUUUUCCAUAAUUCAAGUGUGUUUUAAUGCUCCAAAGUUGGAUGAUACAUAACCUUUAUAAAAGGACUACAUAGCUAUACAUGCAUUACCAUUUUCAUUAUUAUUUUGAUUUUGAAGGAACUUGAGCAUUGAAGUUUGUUCUGAUUAUGAUACCGAAGAGAUACCUAUUGAAAAGCAUGAUCGGAGUAUAUCAUUUAAAUUUCAUUGUUUUAUACCAUGAUGUUAUUCAUUUGCACACAAUCUCAAUUUUUAUACGUUAGUCUCAUCAUUUGUAUUUUCAUCUAAAAACCUAAAUUUUUCAUACAUAUUGAAGUUAUAAAAAAUUGAACCAUCAAGAGAAUAGUCUACCUCAAAACCUGAAGGUGAUGUGCAAAUCCAUCUCACCCCAAAAUAUAAGGGUCAUAAAAAGAUAUGACUUCCACACUUGCAGGUUGACCUGACCGAUCGACCUACACCUAAAAAGGUGAACACAACUGCUCUUAUUCUCAUAUGCCUAAAAGUCAAUAAAGUAUAAAAAGUCUGGAACAAUCUAUAGUAAUAAUAGAGCAAUGGACUAUAUAAAGCCCUCACCAUGAAGUAAUAAGACAUAAGAUAGCUUCCGUAAUCACUUAGAAAUUGGUGUAAAAAUUCUCAUAAAAAUCCUCCCCUUGUGGGAAAUUCUUCCCUAUAUCUGGUAAGGUAUAAUGAAAUUUUAGUUAUCCUAAAAGAUUUUGAGCAUCUUCACACAUGACACAUCUAAUAUUGAAGAUGGGGAAUUUAGCGGUAUCUCUUCAAUUAGAUUUUUCAUUUUUUUUUUCUUUUUUCCUAAAUGUGAGACCCCGACCCCAACUAAUAAAUGGGGGAAACAUGGGAGGGAUGGGAGUAUGAAUGAGUAGAUAGUGGUUAGGAUGUCAAUCUCCAAACAACGAUUUGUGGUAGGGUUGAAUUAGCAAGUGAGUUGGAUACACCCAUCUCAAUCAUCUGCAAUCCAUUGAACCUUCAUCUUCUCAUAUGUGUAGUCAGCUUCUGUGGAAUUGAGAAGCAACAAGAUAUAUAUGGUGUAUCCUUAUGGAUCCUCCCUCUUUAAUUGCUAUGUAUGACUGCCCAUCGCCCAAAAAGGGCACAAAAAGUUGGGGGAAAAUUUCUAUGAUGUAUUAUUGGUCAUGUUUGAUAAUGAAAAUGACCUAAGAAUCUACUAUAUACCAUUUAAAUUCUAAUUUGACCUUGUUCCAUACAAGAAGUAUUUUUAUGCUAAUAUCUUGUUUGGAUUGAUGUUUGAGAAGUAAAAAAGUUGCCUUUUAAGCAAAAUUUGUCGUCCCAUGGAAUAAUUACUCAUGACUAACUAAGAAUUUUAUUGUCCCGCAGAAUUAGUAAUUAUUUUUUAUGGACAUCCAACAAUUAGACCCCAAAUAUUCGUUUGUGAGUAUAUAACGUAAAGAUACUCAAAAUUUUUUAAAUUAGGUUAUAUUAUAAUAUCUUGUCAUGUCGAUAUCAUGUAUUUAUGUUAUACCUAUAUUUCAUGACAAAAAUAAUAAUUUUGGAAAUGUCUAUGUAUACUUUACUAGUGACAUUAAUUUUGACACAUCAUAUUAGCAUAAUCAAUCAAUGAAAUUGCUUAAUAAUUUUUUAUUAAAAAAUUACGAGUCUUCUAAAUUUAAAUUAGUAUUUUUUUUAAAAAAAAUUGAUUCAUAGUAUAAGUAUAUUAGUGAGUAUAAUAUAACAAACAAAAUUGUCAGUUGCAUAAAAAAGUUCAAAAUCUUUUAAAUUAGGUCUUGUUAUGAUGUAUUAUGAUAUAGUGCAUUUUUGUCAUCUUAAUAAAUGUUAUAAACAAAAAUAACUUUGAUUUAUAACGUUUUCUUUUCAAUUAUGCUCCCCAUUUAUAUAAUUAUUUUUUAAAAAUAACCAUAAAAUAAAAUUAACUAAAAUAUGUUAUUGUAAAUACUCUAUUUUAUAUUAUUUUAUAAAAAUUAUUUUCUACUUUCUAAUUAUCAAACAUUUUUUUUACGAGUUUUCUUCUUAACAUACCAUUAGUUCUAAGAUGUGAUUGAAUUAAAUGAUGAAGCUAAAUAUCGGAAAUGUUCAUAUGGAAUUGAUUGACAUUACAUUUUGAUCGAUACUUUUCAUUACCUACUUGCUUAUGUCUAUGUCCCCAUGACCAGGUAAAGGAAUUCAAAUUCUUCUUUCAAAAUUUUAAAUGGUUUCAUGUUUUCGGAUUUUUUUUUUUCCCUUUUUAUAUAUGAUUGUAAUAUAAAAAUACUAAAGAAAAUAAAAUAUAAUUAAAAUAAAAUUAAAAAACAUUAUAUAUUUUUAAAUUAAAAUAAAUAAAAUGAGUUUUAAAUAACAUAUAAAAAUUAUUUUAUUAAUUUUAAAUUUAUUUUACAUUUUUCUAUGUUUUUUUUUCUAUUUUUUUGCCUAUUUUCUUUAAUAUAAUGUUGACUGAAAAUAAAUAAAUCGAUUGACCUCAAUCUUCAACGUCAUCUCCUCAACUUUAUGCAAAUCUGCAACUCUUUUUCUACCAAACACCCCCACAGGGAAAUGCGAGAAAGUUGGUACCACCAAAGGAAACCCAAGUGGAUAUCAUUUUCUGGCGUGCCAAACACCCCCAUUAGGACAGUGGUACUUUGUCCACAUCAGAUCCUUAUCUGGAGACAAGCGCAUUUAAAGCCAACCCACGUGGCAGUCUCACCACCCUCCGAUUCUUAAAAGAGCGUCGGUUGCUUUGUCCCUUUCCACCCCUUCCAGCUCAGUUAUCCUCAAAAAUAUAUGUAAUAAAUAAAUAAAUAAAGGACAAAAAUGAUGUCACGUAAUCAGCAACAAAGGCUUGGACCGUUUUUUGACUUUCAACAUCGCACGUGACCGCCGCCUUUUAUUCGAGGUUCGGCGAACGUCGUCGCUUUGUUACGUGUCUAAAGCAAAGUACACGUGGCACUCUCUUUUGAUCUGCAUUGCCAAUAAUAGUUUAAAAUGCAAUCAAGUGCCAGCUGGGCUGACACUGGACAACUGUUGCGUCACCACUUCACAUUAUUUAACUAAUUGACGUAUAUACCCUCAAUCCAGAAUCCAAUCCUUUUUUAGGUCCAUCUUCUAACCUAUAUAACAUUUAAAAUGGGUUAAUUUCACUUACUCCGUCAGGUUUACCAUUCAUUUCAAAUUAAGAGUGUGUUUUAUAUGUUUUUAAAAAUAUUUUUCACCCAAAAAGUGUUUUUAAAAAAUAUUUUUCACCUAAAAAGUGUUUUUAAAUAAAAAAAUUAGAUCUUUAAUAAAAUUUAAAAAAUAUUUUUAAAAUUUAGAAAAUUACUUCUAGCAUUAAAAAAAUUACUUAUAAUAUUGACUUAUCGAUUAAUUCUUAUUUUUAAAUAUUAUAAUUGAUUUAUAAAAUUAAAUUAAAAUUUAUUUUAAAUUAUCAAUUUAAUAUAUUUAUUCUUAUAAAUUAUAAUUAUAGUAAAAGAGAUUUCAUAACACUAAAGGAUCGUGAAGUAGCAAAAGAUAUUUGAAAAUAAUUAUGAAAAAUAGGGAUAAAAAGGUAAAAUAAAAAUAUGAAUUUAAGAAUAAGUUAAUUGUUUUUACUUACUACUUAAAGUUGUUUUUAUUUUACCAAAUAUACUUAAUUUACUUAAUGACUUGAAUUAAAUUAUUAAGUUACUUUAAGUUAUUAAAUUAAUUUACCAAAUACACACUAAUUAAAUUAACCUUGAAAAAAAUCUCAUAAUAAUAAUUGAAUUUAUUGCAUUUAAAGCAAAUAAUCUUUAUAAAAAGGAUAAUAAGUCACUAUAAAUUGUAUUAGAAUAGAUCAUUGAUUAAUGUGAAUACUUACUUAUUUUUAAAUUUGUAUAUCAUCUUUGCAUUAUAUAUGUAAUGAGUUUUUUUAAUUAUAUAAACAUAUGCGACAUUUGUUUUUUUAUUGAAUAAAAAAUAUUAAAAUAUUUAACUUUUUUUAUUUAAUUAAAAAUAAUCUAUUAAUAUCAACUAAUAUUAUCAAACUAAAUCUAUUAAUAAUAAAUUCAUUUUAAUAAUAUCAGUUAAUAUUAAUAUAUUACUUUUAACUUAAUAAAAAAAAGUUAAAUAUUGUAAUUUUCUUAUUCAAUUAAAAAACAAACAAAUUAUUUUGUAAAAAAAAAUAAUAAUUCAAAACAAUUCACAAGUAGCUAUGGAUGUAGAAGAUGGGUCUUGAAGUUCAUGUAUAAAUCCAAAAUGUUGUUCUUCAUGGGUUGUAGUCAAAUCUAGUCCAUGAUAUGACAUUUCUUGGGAGAAUGGGUGGUUGCUAUUUAUUUAAUUUUACUAAGCAAUCAUUCUUUUACGGACAUUAAAAGGAAAAAAACAAAUCAAAUUUUCAGACAUAUCUUUCUAUAAUUAUUUUCAAAUUUUGGAUUUAUUUUAUAUUGGUCACAAGGAGCCGACAAGGGUAUAUGCGAGACAGAGUUUGGAGGGUAAAAAUAGUAAAGAUGAUGGGAAGAGGGUAGAUCUCAGUGACGGGGAAAAAGGAAAAUGCCAAAAAGGGUAAGGACACAGGGCCCUUGAUCUGCGGCCUGGGCUCGGUCGUCCACAUGCGCUUGGAGAGUCAUGGUUUUGAAGAUGAGGCUGAGAUUUGAGUCGGCCCGCCCCACAUUUUGUGAUUAAUUAUUUAUCAUUUUAAAGAAAAGAACAGAAAAGAAGGGGGGCGUAGGACAACAUGGGUGGUUCCCAUGAAAGCCCAGGAACAGGCCACGAUCGUGAGAGUUUCGAUUAGGUCAGCUGGAUUUUCAGUAUCCCUCCGCCCUCUUCUCAUGGGCCCCCCUUUGCCCCUUUUUUCUGGCCCACAUCGCUCGUGGUAUGUUUCCUUACCUUUAGGGGCUUUUUUGUCUUUUGGUUUUCGGGCCGGGUCGUCUUUCCUGGUUAAUAGACCAUGGUUACCUAUCUGAUUUGAUGUCUGCUUAGGAUGGUAUUAUUAAUUUUGUCCCGAAAUUACUAGAAUAGACUUCCAUUUCGACAAUUUUACACUUUUUUUUUGGCCUUUUAUAUGGAUUGCUUUUCCUACGAGGUUAUUUGUCAGAUGUUCUUCCAGCAGCGCCGAAAGUUUACCAUAAAAAUAAUAUUUUUUUUGAAAAAAAACUAAGCCCCGGUUGAUUUUGGAUUCUUUAAGUUAAUCUGAGUUUGAAUUGCAUAAUUUAAAAUCUCUUUAUAAUAUUAUUUUAAUAAAUUUAUAUGAAAAUUUAAACAACUAAAAGGAUAAAAUUUCAAGACAAUCACAAAAAAAAAAUAUAAAUUUAUGUAUUUUUUUAAAAUAAUGAAAAACAUAUAAUAUAAUUUUAUAUUUUUUUUUAGAAAAAUAAAUAUUAUUAUAUAUAAUAAAAUAUAUUAUAAAUAUUAUAAAAAUAUUAAAUCAUAUUUGGGUUAGACUCGAGUCGUCUUAAUCUUAACUCGAUCUCAAUUAAAAUUGAGUUCGAAUUAAAAAAAAAUCUAAGUUAAGUACAACAUGAAUAUUGAAUAUGAUUAUUGAAACUUGUUCAAAUGUCAGGAUCCACAUAAAUAGCAUCGUUAAUAAAAAUACAAGAAGGGGAAGAAGAAAAAUAACAAAAAUGAAAAAGAUUACGAUUAUGAUUAAGGUUUAGUAGGUAUACACAAUUAAUUUUUUUACUUUUAAUAAACAAGGAGAAAAAAGGACGGAAAAGAAAAUGAAUGAUUAGGAUAAGUGGUUGGGUUUAAUAAGUAUACACGAUUAGUUUUAGUAGGUAUAUACUACUAGCUUUAACUUUUAAUAAAUUCUUUUAUCUAAAAAUGGAAACAAAGAGGUGCAAAAAGGAAAGGAGAAAGAGAAGGGAAAGGAAAAGGAUUAGGAUAAGGGGUGGAGUUUUAUAAGCAUACACGAUUAGUUUUAACCUUUAAUAAAUAUUUUUAUUUAAAAUUAAAAACAAAAAGAUACCAAAAAAGGAAAAGGAAAAUGAUUAGGAUUAGAGUGAGGAUUAUGGUUUAAUACGUAUACACGAUUAGUUUUAAAUUUUAAUGUAUUAUUUUAGUUGAAAUAGUUUGAGAUAUAUUUUCCUAAUUUUUUGAAAGGUGUGUUUAAUAUUCAGUUCUUUAAAUAAAUUUUAGUUUUUUUAAUCUAAUAAUAACUUAAAUAUUAAUGCAUUCAAAUUUACAGCAGUUAAUUUAGAGUUCGUUUAACAAUAUUUUUAAGAAGUGUUUUUGAAAAAAAAAAUUGUCCAUUUGUUAGUGAUUUGAGGAAGUAAUUCUAAUCUUUUUAACACUUGAAAUUUUUUAUUAUUUAAAUCUUAAAAAGAUUAGAAACAUUUUCUAUAAUUAUUAUCAAACACACUUUUAGAAUAUUAAUAAAUUACUUAUAGUGUUUUCUGAAAAAGUUUUCAUUCGAUGGGUGAUUUUCCUGAAAACGCUUAAAAAAAUAUUUUUAUUAAAAAUAUUUUAAUCAAAUAUGCACUCUUAGAGUGAGUUUAAUAGUGAUUCUAGAAAAUUUUACUAGUUUUUAUAAUGGUAGAAAGCGUUUAACAUUGAUUCUAAAAAGUGUUAUUAACUUUUCUAUCUUUCAAACAUUAGAAAAAUUAGAAAUACUUUUUAGAAUCACUAUUACGUUUGGCAAAAAGUGUUUUUAACUUUUCUAUCUUUCAAACAUUAGAAAAAUUAUAAAUACUUUUUAGAAUCACUCUUAUAUUUGGCAGUGAUUCUAGAAAAUAUUUUUUUGUCAUUUUAAUACUUUAAAUUUUUUAUCUUUAAAGUAUUAAAAAAAUUAAAAACACUUUCUAAAAUCAUCGUAAAACAUACUCUUAGAGCCCAUUUGGUAGUGAUUUUAGGAAACGUUUUUAAUAUUUCUAAUACUUGAAAAUUUUUAUCACUAAAGUGUUAAAAAUACUAGAAACGCUUUUUAGAAUCACGCACAAACAUCACAAGUGAUUUUUCAUAUUUUUAUAAACAAUUGUUUUUUCAAAAUUAAAAGCGUUUCCUAAAAUCACUAUCAAAUGGAUUCUUAAAAUGGGUUUGAUAGAGAUUUUAGAAAGUAUUUUUACCAUAUCUAAUACUUGAAAAACCACUAGCAAACAUACUAUUAGAGUAUUGAUAAUAAUUAUAGGAAAUAUUUCUAACCUUUAUAACACUUGAAAUUUUUUAUCCUUCAAGUAUUAAAAAUGUUAGAAACUUUUUCUAUAAUAAUUCUCAAAACACUUUAAAAUCACGUUUGAGAAUUAUUUCAGGAAGUAUUGAUAAUAUUUAAAUAAUAAAAAUUUUUAAAUAUUAAAAAAACUAAAAUCACUCCGUAUAACCUAAGGAGACAUGAUAGAUAGAAUCGGGUUAUUAUUAUUUUUAUUAUUAAAUUUAAAAUUUUAUUUUAAUUUUAUUAUUUUUGAGAGGAAGGUAGGAUUUGAAAAAGUGAUAAUGUUGUCCUUAUAUUUAAAAAGGAUGCCUUUGGUUUUUGAAGGCCAGGGGGUGUUGUGGACCGACGACUUGUUAAACUGUACCUUUCAAAUGUAGGGCUUUCAAUACCUAACAAGCAGCAAACCCACGCACUCUCUAAGUUCCAUUGUCCAUCGGAUUCACAACAUCUUGGAGAUAUGUCCUUUUUAUUAACUAUAAAUAAUUAAAUUUGAUCCCCAUUUUACAAUUUCAAAUUAUUUGAAAACAAAUAAUGACAAUGAAAAUGUUACUUAAUUAUGGGCCCAACUUAAUCUCAAAUCAAAAGAAAGUAUUUGGAACUACCCAGUAUAAAUUAUGUUCGAAACGUUUUCGAAAACUAUUAUAAAAAAAUAAUUUUAAAAAAUGGUUUUAUGAUAUUUUCUAAAACAAAAUUUUAUUUGAAUAUUUAGAAUAUGUUUGAUAAUUGUUUUAAAUAAUAGAAAACAAUUUUUUAUAUUAUUAAAUUUGUUUUUUAUUUUUUUGUUUUGAAAAAUAAAAAAUCGUUUUUGAAAACAGUUAUCAAACAAGUUUUUAGAAUUAAUUCAACUUAUAUCUCAUGUUUAUAAAUUUUUAAUUAUUUGAAAAUUACUUUUUUUCUGAAGGCUAAAUUAGUCAUUUAAUGCAGCAUUCUUACUGUAAACGAAACUAACGUUAGUGUAUCAAAUAGUAUUUGGAUUAAGGUUCGAGAUGAGGCCAAAAUGACAAAUAUUCCACGCAAUUAUUUCCAUUAAACAGAGAUUCAGGCGCUAGGGUUUAGCAUUAAGACAGAAAGUGAAGAGGAUAAAAGCCGAAGAAUGACGAAAAUACCCCUGUAAUAGCAUCCAACAAAAGGUUGAACUAGGAGAGCCGUGGCCAUGCAUGCCUCACAACAAGUAAUUGUGGAUGCCAUGUGCCAUUGAGCAGCUUUUGUCCUUACCCUCUAUCCGAACGCUUAGUCGUCACUGUGAGCAGUGACAGUGGCAGUUUCGUUGUUUUAUUCAAAUCUGGGGGUUAGUUUGGAGGUGGGCAUGCAUAAAAGCCGGUGCUCACCUCUUUCGCUCAGAGCAUCGGCAUCACCUCCACCGUUUCUCCCUUUUCUCUCUUCUUCUCUCUUAAACUUCGCUUCAACCAGACACUCCCAAUGAGAGCUGUGGCGUUUCUUUUGCUACUAUUGUGCGCCACCUGCCACAUUGCCUUAUCCUUCACCGACGGUAAGUGGCAUUUUCCUGGUUUACCUCCUCUUCUUCUUCUUCUUCUUCUUCUUCUUCUUCUUGAGAGCUGAUGGUGUCUCUGUUCCAAUGUUUUUAUCCUCCGUUGGAUUUGUUUGACUAACUUUAUUUUACGGUUGAGAUUAACGGUUAUUUGUACAUUAUGCAUUGGCACUAGGUUAGGAUCAAUGCUAGCGGUGGCCGGCAGCGCUGCUACUAGCUAGAUAAACUGACCAAAUUAACCCUACCUUUCAUGUCGAAUUCUAGUCUCAGGAAGGGGCUUAAGGGUCAUUUAGAUAGUCAUAAGUUGCAGAGGUUUCUGGCCGAGAUUCAAAAGUUGAGGGGCAAAUAUGCCUUUUUACGCUUCAAUAAUUUGAAUCUCUCGUACUGCUGCGGGGCAGAGGCGGCUCCACAUGCUCUCAGUAUGGAGAGAAAGUCUCAGCCGUCCAUGUGCUCAUAUUAAUGGCUCUGAUAUGAGCUGUGUGGGCCACUAAGUAUCUGUUUACAGUUCAGGUGAAUAGAAGUGUGUUAAAUGACAAUAUUGGCCAUUCUAGUCCCGCCAUAUGGUCGUCGGUCUCACCGUCGUAGCUUUCAGCUUCUAACGGCCUUUGGCCUGCUCGAUAACCGUAACGAAAACAUGGGUGUUAUCCUCCUUUCAAUUCCUUUGUCAAAUGUUUUCAAUUUCUUGCAAAUUUAUUGAAGCUAAAUUCCAAAUAAUACCCACUGGAAAACGCAGGACUAUUACCGAAUGGGAACUUCGAGCUGGGGCCGAAGCCAUCGGACAUGAAGGGAACGGAGGUGAUAGGCCCGCACGCCAUACCGGAAUGGGAAACAUCGGGUUUCAUCGAGUACAUAAAAGCAGGACAAAAACAAGGCGACAUGUUGCUGGUCGUCCCUGAAGGAGCCUUCGCAGUCAGGCUGGGGAACGAGGCUUCCAUAAAACAGAGAGUGAAGGUGAUCAAGGGAAUGUACUAUUCCAUUACCUUUAGUGCCGCCAGAACCUGCGCCCAGGAGGAGCGCUUGAACAUAUCAGUGGCGCCCGACUGGGGAGUCCUGCCUAUGCAAACUCUGUACAGCAGCAACGGCUGGGACUCCUACGCCUGGGCGUUCCAGGCUGAUUACGAUGUGAUCGAGAUCGUCAUACAUAACCCAGGCGUAGAGGAGGAUCCAGCUUGUGGACCGUUGAUCGAUUCCGUUGCUUUCAGGGCUCUGUAUCCUCCCAGACCUUCCAGCAGUGAGUUUUUAUGGUUUGAUUCGUUUGAAUGCAUAUAAGCAUAUUGCAUACUGCAUACACAUUAUUUAUUUUAUUUUUUUAACAUUUGGUACAAGUAUAUAGUAGUUAUGGCACUAUGGUCCCCUGCAUUAGGUCCCCCUCUUAUAUAUUGGACCACUUGUUUCGGAUUGGGGCUCAUCAUAUAACUAUUUGUGGGUAGGUUUGAAGGCCCCGUUUUCCGCUCUGCCUUAUAGGUAUUAGUCAAGGUUUGCUCAAAUCUGUGAAAUACUGUGAAGCCCAAUUAAAUUAUUGGGCUGAUCCGGUUUUGUUUUUUCACUCUUUUUGAUAAGGAACACCUUGUACAUGCAUUAUUGCAUUUCCAGGAGCUGUAAUAUGGUGCUCGAUAUCUCUCAUUUAUAACAUUUCAGACCCUUUUUUGAGGUGGGAUGAUCCCGCUUAUGUCGGGUAAUGGGUCGCCCAAAUAAUGACUCCUAAGGGUGUGAUGUAGAAUGUCAUAAAAGACACCCAUACAGGAAAAUAAUCGGUUUUUAGGUGAAAUGAUCAAAAUUUGGACCUUAGGUUGUCUCUAUGAAUCACACCCAACAAACAAAUUAAUGAGACACAAGUAUAUUUUUCGAGUGGCUAAACCUUCGUAUUCUUUCUUAAUUCAAUCAUCACAUACUUCUUUCAUUAGGGUCAUUUCAAUUUCACAUUUAGACCAAGACCCAUUUAAGACAGACAUAGAAAGUACGAGUCCGACGCCCAGAGAUCACAUUUUGUUAAAUACAUAGACACGAAGUUACCUAUAGGAUAUAGCUAUUGCUUUCAAGAGUUGUGUCAUUUAUUGGCCCAGGACUUAAGUGGUUGGCCCGUUGAAGACCUUGCAAGCAUGGUGACAAAUCGCCUUUAUGAAGUAGGCCAAAGGGUGGCAAAAAUGGCACACAUCUUCUAUGGGUGGAUAUGCAAGAAUCUGAUCAAUUAUGGUCUACUCUAGAAAAAGAAUAAUAAUAAUAAUAAAAGUUUAAGGAUCUAGCUUUUUGGAAUUAUUAAUAUUUUCAUGUCUUGAUCAUGCAGAGAACCUACUGAAAAAUGGUGGGUUUGAAGAGGGCCCAUAUGUGUUCCCCAACACAUCCUGGGGAGUUCUCAUCCCACCCAACAUUGAAGAUGAUCACUCUCCGCUCCCUGGUUGGAUGGUGGAGUCCCUCAAAGCCGUCAAGUACAUCGACUCCGACCACUUCUCCGUGCCGCAGGAGAAACGUGCGGUGGAGCUGGUGGCCGGAAAAGAGAGUGCCAUAGCCCAAGUAGCCAGAACCAUCCCUGGCAAAACAUAUGCGCUCUCAUUCUCAGUAGGAGAUGCCAGCAACUCCUGUGAAGGGUCCAUGGUGGUGGAGGCCUUCGCCGGCAGGGACACCAUCAAGGUGCCAUAUGAAUCAAAGGGCAAAGGAGGCUUCAAGCGGGCUGUUCUCCGUUUUGUAGCGGUAUCCAACCGAACCCGAAUCAUGUUCCUGAGCACAUUCUAUACCAUGAGGAGUGAUGACUAUGCCUCCCUCUGUGGACCUGUUCUUGACGAUGUGAAGCUGCUCAGCCUCCGCACUCCUCCUAGGCACAUCUAAGCCGGCGGCCAGUGUUGAUGCAAAUUAAAGGGGUGGUUUCUGUUUUGAAGCUCUGCAACUCUGCAGAAACAUCAGUUAUACUAGAAGUAUUUUUGCUAUAUGAGAAAGCGAGGUGCACUAGCUUGAGUUCUACUACAAUCUGGAAAAAAUAAAUAAAAAUAAAUAUAUAUAUAUAUAUAUAAAUACUAAUUAAUGUAACAAUAUAUAGUAUAUGGUAGGGUGUGAUUUUAUUAAGUGGUUGUGUACUUUUUUAGAAAAAUAAAUGACAAAAAAGGGAAAAAAAAAAAGAAAAAGAAAAAUUAAAGUUGUUCGUGAUAUUAAGAUCAUAUGUUUGUGUUUGGGUUCAUAAUUGUACUGAUUUUCGAGGUUUGUUUUAAUUUGAGAUACUUAAACAUGGGCAUAGCCCAAUCAUGAAUGAGUCCCAUGCAUGUAUUCAAGUUUGAAUCAAGAAUCUAUGGAUCCUACUUAAUCUACAAAUUGAGUAUUAUAUCUUCACAUUUACAAAUGGGACCAUUCUGACAUUACUUUAGCUGAGAUGCCUACUCAACUCUCUUACUAUUCGGGUGCCCAAAAUCCUAUGGUUGAACGUAGAUGAAAUAUGUGAAUCAGGUGAAAGAUUUCAAAUUGUCGAUCUUCAUGCAAUGAUUCCUGGUGAAGAAAUUACAGAAAAAAAAAAACACAGAUUUAAUGUGAUUCGAUGAAUUGCUUACGUCUACGAGAACAAGGAAGAAAACUUUCACUAUAUGUCAAAUUAGGGUUACAUAAAAUAAUAUUUAUACUAAUCAUCAGAUAAUAAAAUUCCAAAAAUGUCCAUGCAUCGUACACUCCCCUCGUUCCACUCUGUUCUACUUCGACAUUUGUCAUUUUUUUCUCUAUGUGUCUUUCUCUCAAUAUGAACCACAUACUACAACACAAAAAAAUACUCGGGCAAUGCUCAAAGAAGAUAGGAGAAAGAAGAAUACAAAAAUAAAAAUGAAGUAUACUUGGUGUCGUUCUCUUUCUCAUGCUGACUUACAAAAAUUUAAUUUCAAAACAGAGGUCACAUGAUGAUAAUGACACGAGAAUUUGGAGGGGUAGUGGUGAAAUGGGCCGCACAAUUGAUCCUACCCUUUGUAUUGGGCUUCAUUUUGCUGGAUCCAAGUUUGUCCGGAUAAUAUAAUUUCAAUAAACUGAAAUCAGCCCUUAAAGACAAGACCCAAAUUGCCAAGCCCUAAGGCACGGCUGGGUUACUGCCACGUGCAUUGCACGUGGGGUGUAAAAAAUCACAAGAAGAAUGGAAUCGGACGGUGGAGAGAGUCGCGUUAGGUUGAAGCUACCUGAGAGACGCUAAAACCCUCUUAUAGAAACCCUCGCGUUCGUGUUUGUCUCCCUCUUUCUCCUCACACUCUCUCUGCGGACGCAUUUUCACAGGGGUAAAUAUGGUGAGUUUCGUUUUCCUUUAUGUUUGUUUCUCUAGAAAAAUUUAAGGGUAUUUUCUUUUGGUUUAACAAAAAGGAAAAAAAGAAGACUUAUCCAGGACAAAUUGAGCUUUUGAAUCUUGUGAUUUAUGCUGCAUUACUUUCUGUUGAGUUGAGAUUCUGUUCUUCUUAGUCAUCAAAAUGUUAAUUGAUUUUCUCUCGUUGUCCUACCUUUCGCAAGCAAUCAAUCGUAGGAUAAGUUUGGUUCUGUGAUUCGAUCCCGUUCGAUUGAUCUAUUGAUUUUUUUUCUGUCGUAGGCUUUGCCUAAUCAGCAGACUGUUGACUACCCAAGUUUCAAGCUUGUAAUCGUCGGGGAUGGUGGAACAGGUGAUCACAAUAAAAAUUAUAUUCUUUGUUCUUCGCUGUGUUCGGUCGCUGAGAAGACCGAGGAAAAACGAAGACUUCGUUUUUUUCUUUUUUCCUUUUCAUUAUCUGGGACUUGAUGGAACAAAAACUUCCCGUCUUAAUCAAUGCAACUAUUUUGCUCGAUCGAGUUCCUUUUUUUUUUUUGCCUUUUCCUUUUCUUUAAAAAUGAAAUGCAAUGAAACAUAUUCGAAAAUUUCUUUUCCCUUUUUUCUUUCAUUCAGAAGUCAAAUACAGGGUUCGGGAUUUGAUUUUCUAUUGCCUGUAGUUAAUAUAGAACCUCACUGUAUCCAAGUUUAUUUUCCCCAUUUUGUGCAAUUGGGGUUUUCGUUGGGGUUCUUGUGAUUAUAAAACUGUAGAGCUUAUAUGGAAAAGGGAUCAAAGCCUUGGAACUCAUUUUAUGUUGUGGAAUUUAAUGCACUUUAUUUACAGUGAUUUUGCUAAUCUGAAAGUGGUUUGCCAAUGCAGGAAAAACAACAUUUGUUAAAAGACAUCUUACAGGCGAGUUUGAGAAAAAAUAUGAACGUAAGUUUGGAGAAAAUGUUAUGCUCUAAGUUUUCUAUCUUGUAUUUACUUAUCGGACUGUUUGUGAAGAUUUUCAAAGUGCCCUUCAGGCCUUAAUAGCCCAAAUGAGAGGAAUAUUCUAUUCCCAAAGCAAAAGAAAAUAGUAUAUUCUGAAUGCAAACUAAUUUUGUUUUCCUUUUUCUUUUUUAAUCAUGAUAGCAACCAUUGGUGUGGAAGUUCAUCCGCUGGAUUUCUUCACAAACUGUGGUAAGAUUAGAUUCUAUUGCUGGGACACUGCUGGGCAGGAGAAGUUUGGUGGUCUUAGAGAUGGAUAUUAGUAAGUAAUUUUACAAAUUGGUGUUGCUAGCUCAUUUUUUUACUAAAUUUUUUCUGUCCUGAACAUGUAUUUGUAUUUAAUAUAUUUGACAAUUUGAUGUUCAUAUUCAUUGCAUCACAAUAUUGUAUGUAUGAAAUCUUUUUCUUUGGUUGGCUGGUUUUUUCAAUUUGUGCUUUUGACCUUCAUACUGUUGUUAGAAUUUUGAUUAGAAUUGAAGGAUUCUUUGUUCUAUUAUAACCAUCUUAAUAUUUUUUUUUGGUGUUGCUCAUGGUGUUCUUCGCUUACAGUUGGUUGAAAUUGUUUUUCUAACUCAUUGGUGAAUGUUCAUGUGUUUAUUGAAUGUGCAUGAAGCAAUCGGAAGUUAGAAACUGUUUUUUCAUAUGAUUUCUGAUUGAUGCUAAUUUGGUAUAUUUUAGGCUUCCACAUUUGAUACCGUCGGUUUGGGUUAUUUGUUUCAUUUUAUCUUGCUGUAGAAGUUAUUGGUGAAAAAAAUGGAGAUAAGUGGUUUAUAAAACAAUUUGUAAUCAAGUGGUUUGUUUUCUUUUGAAUUGGACUACCAUGUUUGUUUGGGUGAAUUAAAAGAUUAUAUUUUUUAAGGCAGGUUGUAAUUUCAGUUUGACUGCCCAAGUUGUAUUAUUGAUAAAAUCAAUUUUAAAGGUGUGUUUCAAAUUGCUUAAAAGGUCAAGUAAAAUUUUACUUUUUGACUUCAUAAAUGUCAAAAGAAAUAUAAAUAUAAACUCUGCAUUUUGGAUAUAAUAAUUAUGGACAUUUUAGACCUGGAGGCUAGUAUAUGAUGAUGAUAUGUAUCGGUUAGGGUGUUGUUGUGGUUUGGUUGUUUUCAGGGUGGUGUUGGUAUUUGGCCCUCUUCUCUCCAUUGCCAGCCUUUUGGUGUGUACUUUCUUGCACCUCUUUGAUGGCGCUUUUUAAUAUAUUCUGUCAUUUACCUAUCAAAAAAAAAAAGAAAGAGAUGUGUAUUGAAAUCAUCAAUUAUCCAAUUAUAUCAGUUGUCAUCAAUUGCUUAUUGAAGUCAUGUUUCAGACUUUCUGCAUUUGAAGCUGAUACAUAUCAAAAUUAUCAUUUUAUAUUGCAAUUUGCCCUUGGCCAUCCAACUCUCUGUAGCCCUUCUUAUCCACUGCAAAAUCUAAAUAUCUAGCUCUUCAAGGCCCAUUAUCAAUUCAUAGUGCAAUUCUCAAUCCGCUCUGUUCAUCCAAACAUGAAAUGUCUGUAUAAUGUCAAUUUAUAUACAGACUUUGAGCCACAUGCUUCCUUUAGAUCAUUUUGUGCUAAAUAAUAGAAAUUUGGUAUUGUUCAUGCUUCACAUUGUUUUUCAGAUUUCACCUUUUUUGAGGAUCACAGCCUUUUCAAGCAAUUUGCUAAAUUUUUGUUUAAUGUGCAGCAUCCAUGGGCAAUGUGCCAUUAUCAUGUUUGAUGUUACUGCUCGCUUGACAUACAAGAAUGUUCCAACAUGGCACCGUGAUCUUUGCCGGUGUGUACAGGAAUCCUGAUUUCCUAAAUCUUAGCAAUUAUCCAUUAGUGAAGACUUAUUCUGAGCCUUAAAUCUUAUGAAGAAUUUUCUGGUUUACCAAUUACAGGGUUUGUGAAAAUAUCCCCAUUGUGCUUUGUGGUAACAAGGUUGAUGUCAAGAACAGGCAGGUGAAGGCAAAGCAGGUUACUUUCCACCGGAAGAAGAAUUUGCAGUAUUAUGAGAUAUCAGCUAAGAGCAAUUAUAAUUUUGAGAAGCCUUUUCUCUACCUCGCCAGGAAACUUGCUGGGUAAGGAAGGACUGCACUAUAAUUCCUUUAUUUUCAUAUAUUUCCAAGUAUGGAGCUUAAGGUAAUCAUCACCAAAAUCGGUGUUGUGGUGGCAGGGAUCCUAAUUUGCAUUUUGUCGAGUCUCCUGCUCUAGCUCCUCCGGAAGUUCACAUCGACUUGGCUGCACAGCAACAGUAAGCAUUUUGUGACAACCAGAACUAUCUCUUCUCAUUGUCUCUCACUCUCAAAUGCACACACAAGCACAUACGUGCUCCAGCCAGCUCUGUUUGGGAAGUGUUUUUAAGAACAGUUUUUGGAAAAUGUUUUCUUAUAUUUUGUAGAAUAAAAGUUUGUUUGCGAACCUGAAAUAUUUAAAACCUAUUUUCUAUGUUUUUUAAAUAUGUUCUAAAAGAUGUUCUCUAAAAAUAUAUUAUUUUUUGCUUUUGGGUUGUUAAUCGUGUUUUCUUACUUUUUUGUUCUUUAUAAUAAAAAACUGUUUUAAAAAACAGCUCCGAAACAAGGACUAGAUUUCUAAGUGGCCACUGGUUACAUGAUUAGUGUUUUCUUACUUUUUUGUUCUUUAUAAUAAAAAACUGUUUUAAAAAACAGCUCCGAAACAAGGACUAGAUUUCUAAGUGGCCACUGGUUACAUGAUGAACGACUAUUGUAAAACUGUGGUUUGGUUCUGAAUCAUGUGGUGGUUUUUGGCAGGCAUGAGGCUGAACUUGCUGCAGCUGCUAGUCAACCCCUUCCAGAUGACGAUGAUGAUGCGUUUGAAUAGAUGGAGGGUUGUUCCCUGUUGUCCAAUGUCUUCCCAAUUUUUCUCCCAUACAUUUAGGACUUGGUAGUUUUUUUCCCCUUUUUUUGGGCUUUUUUUGUUUCUCCCUAUAUUUUUCUCUUGUGGUGAGAUUUGAGGUGGGUGGGGUUUUUCAAUUUUUGGUUUGGUAUUGUGAGAUUUAUGCUGGUGUUUUGUGUAUGACAAAGAUUACAUAUUUGAAAUUAUGUGGACUUGCGAAUGCCCCUUUUCCCUUUUCCUUUCUAUAUAUAUCUUCGCAUAUGUGAGGCUUGUCUAUUAAUAGUAAAUUAAGUUAUUUGAUUAGAAGGGUAUUUCAAAACUCAAUUUUAAAAAUUAAUUUUUUAUACCUUAUUUUGAUAAAAAUGAUUUUAUUUUUUUCUUGUAAAAAUAACUUUUUAUUAAAAGCCUAAAGGUAUUUAUGUUCAAAAUGGGUUAUUUAUAAAAAGAAAGUGGGAUGAUUAAAUUCUUAAAUUUGAAGAUUAUUUUAUCAUUUUUAAAUAAUUAAUUCGAAUAAAUUUGUAUAUAUAUAUAUAAUAAAAAUUUGAUUUAUUUAAAUAUUUAUAAGAGUAGACUUCGGUUUAUUUUAUAAUUCAUUUUAAUUAAAACAUUAUCAAAUUUUUAUUGAUUUAUUUUAAAUAUUUAUAAUUAGUAAAUUUUGUUAAUUUAUAAUUAAAUUUAACUAAAAUGUUAUUAUUCAAAUAAUAAUAAUAUUUUCAUAUUUUAUAAUAUUCACUAGAAUAAUGCCAUUUUGUUACAAUAAUAAUUAUUGCUAUUUUAUAAAAUCAAAGAAAAUUGUAAUUACAAAACUAUUUGUUAUAUUUUCUUGAUUUUAUUUUAAUAUUAAUAUAAUUUUGGAAUAAAAAUUACUUAUUUAAAAAGGUUUUAAAAUAUCUUGUUGAAUCGUUCCACCUAUUUAUCAAAGUAGGAUGGAUAUACAGCAAUUCAUUUCUUUAUUUAAAUAUGAAAUAUGUCCAUAUAAAUAUAAAUAUUUUUUUCAAAAUUCAAAUAUCUAUUCGUUGGAUUUAAAUGUAAGAAAUGCUAUUAUGAAAAGGGCAAAAUGGGAAGGGACAGAAAUAUAGGUCGGCGCGUGGCUUGGUGCAAAGUGUAGGGCUGAGAUAGAAGCGCCGGUUUAAAGCGGGAUCUAAUCCAACGGUUGAGAGAAAUAGCGUCCAUCAAAGGCUAUAAUGAAAACACGCGGCGCCUACUUAUAUAUAUACGGCUAAAACUCCUACUACCACCGCAUUCAAAACUCAAACCUUCUUUCCAAAGCGCUCCUUGGCGGCUUCCAUACGAGAAACUCACGCUCACCCUCCAGAUGGUUUCCCCUCUCUCUCUCUCUCUCUCUGCCUGUUUGGCUGCUUUGAAAGAACAAGGAUUCGGGAUUUUCUUUUCCAUCUUCUCCCGUUUCUCAGCAACCAAACACCUUUUUUAGUCUAGACGUGUUUUUCUGAUCCGUUUUCUUUCUUCUACAGGCGCUUCCAAAUCAGCAAACUGUGGAUUACCCUAGCUUCAAGCUCGUGAUUGUCGGUGAUGGCGGAACAGGUGCACCAUUCGUUUUUUUCCUCUCUCUCUCUAUAAAAUAAAUAAAUAAACCUCGCUUCUUUUCUGCACUGGUUUCUGUUAUUUAGAUCUGAUUUUUAAAGUCCAAAACCCUAACUUUCUUUGAUUACUGUAAAAACUGCGGAAAAGAAAAGGAGAGGGGAUUUUACUUUUCUUUUCUUUUCCUAUGUUUUUUCAGCAACCAAACGGACGGUUCAAAAUGUCUACAUUUCCUGUAAAUUUUGGAAAAUUUAUUUUAAUUGUAAUGGUUGUUUGGAUUUAUGUGCAGGAAAGACUACAUUUGUGAAACGGCAUCUCACUGGAGAGUUUGAGAAGAAAUAUGAGCGUGAGAACUCUUAUGUUAAUAGAUUUAGUUUCUACAGCAAUGCAAUUUUUAUGGAUGAAUUAAGAUGUUGAUGUUUGUUGUGAAAUUGCGAAUUACAGCAACCAUUGGUGUGGAAGUUCACCCAUUGGACUUCUUCACAAACUGUGGAAAGAUCAGGUUCUAUUGCUGGGAUACAGCUGGGCAGGAAAAAUUCGGUGGGCUCAGAGAUGGAUACUAGUAUGUGUUAUCUUACUUGAGCAAUGAUGAAAUAGAUCAUUAACUCAUUAUUCUUUUGAUAUCUAGUGUUUUACUUUUAUUGUAUUUCCCUAAUCCAGUGGUUUCAAGGGUUAUCGCAUCUUUCAAUGUUGAUACUGCUCUCUCUCAUAUGUUUCACAUUGUGGCUCAUUAUUUGUACGUCUGUUAAAAUUUUGUAAUAUUUUUAAAUGGCGAAAUUUUAAUGUUUUCUCUCCUUCCAGUGUUUGAAAAGCAUAUCCUUGAAAUCAUGGUUGAAAAUCUGGAGUUGCUGUUGUUCUUGCAACAUAAUAGUUAACUUGUUUGGAUGCCUUUGCUCAUGUCCCUUCGGUCAUGUCAUGUAAACUCUUUCAUUAAAGUUCCUAUUGGAGAGUUCUUUUUUUUUUUUGUCAUAUGCGGCAGUGUGUUCUUACAAUCUCAUUAAUGGACAGCCUCCUCGAUCAGUACAAGCACAAAGAAUUUCUUUUUGCUGGUUUUGUUUUUGACUGAAACAAACAAAAGCCUUUCAAUAGUUUGAAGUCAGAGAAGGCGCCUUUCAAUUUCUCAAUGUUUGAUAGGCAAUACCAUAAUAGAAUGUUACUUUUUCUUCCUUGAUUCUAUACUUCUAUCAUGCUCUGAGAAUACAUUAAACUGAAAUUAAACAACAGUAUCUCUGUCAUGUCUCUGAUUGUGAUGGAAGAUCCUGAUGUUGAUGUAGAGAUUUAAAAUUGAUUUUUGAUGUGUAGUUCUAUGAUUCCAUUAUGAGAUCAAAGGUUCCAAUAAUUUGUCUUACAUAAAAGGUUGGGACUUUCAAGGAUGAUAUGCAACCAUAUCCCUACAUUUGAUUGUAAUAGAAGAUCCUGAUGUUGGCAUAGAGAUUUAUAACUUAUUUGUGGUCUAUAUUUCUAUGAUUGCAAUGUGAGACUCAAAGGUUCAUUCCAUUUUGUUGUGUUAUAUGUUGGACAUGAUUUUAGUUUGUUAUGUCCUCAGUUUUAUUUGUUGAUCACUGGAGGUGCCAUGUGACACCUAACAGAAAUGUAUUCAAAUUCUGAAAAGGAAACAAGUGAACUCUAUAUAGGGAAUCCUACUGCAAGGGAAUAUUUUUCUUUACGGCUUUCUAAGAUAUGUUUGUUAAAAAGUUGAAUUCCUUUCAAGUUAAAAAUCUUUUGUUCAUCAAAACUCAACUGGGAGAAUUUUCCGAUGUUCUAUUGAAAUUGUUAUUUUUUUUCUUUACGUACCUGUUACCUGUGAGUUCAUGAUCGCUUCUGCAUGGUGCUUGAUGUUACAAAGUUUAUAUGUCAAUACAUACAUGUUCCAAGCCUUCUAUGUCUUUGUAUGUUCCCCACUUAUCAGGAGUUGGUCUCAUGUUUAUUGCAUGUGCUUUUUUGCCUUUAAAAUCUUAUCAUGCUUCUAAGUGGUAAUAUUUGAUUUUCUGUUUGUGCAGUAUUCAUGGACAGUGUGCCAUCAUCAUGUUUGAUGUCACUGCUCGUCUGACAUACAAAAAUGUUCCAACAUGGCAUCGGGAUCUCUGCAGGUGCACAAAUGGAGCCAUUCUUUUCUUUUUCCUCCUCCUCCUUCUCCUCAUCAAAACUGCCAUCACUUGCCUUCUAUUUUCUCCUAUAUUCUGUGGUGGUAGUGUUCUUACUGGCAAUUAUUUCUGCUGUAUUUAGGGUGUGCGAGAAUAUUCCAAUUGUUUUAUGUGGAAACAAGGUGGAUGUGAAAAAUAGGCAGGUCAAAGCAAAGCAGGUUACUUUCCACAGGAAAAAGAAUCUCCAGUACUAUGAAAUUUCUGCAAAGAGCAAUUAUAACUUUGAGAAGCCCUUCUUGUACCUUGCUCGAAAACUUGCAGGGUAAUUUUUUUGAAACCUUUUCUAAUUAUUGCUUUCAUACCAGUUUGGGCUUAGUGCCUUGAUGCUUUUGUUUUCCCUUUUGGCUAAGACCAUACUUGGUUUAUUGCUGCCUGCAGAGAUGUCAAUCUCCACUUUGUUGAGUCACCUGCUCUUGCUCCUCCUGAAGUUCAAAUUGAUAUGGCUGCACAAGCUCAGUAAGUGAUUCAUACCAUUUUUCUUUUAUGAAACAGUCCUUGUGAACCUUCUUACCUGCUAGAUCCACUGAGAGAAAAAACUUCUAAAUGUAAAUUUUUGCUGUCAGUAUGUGGGUGAUAAUCAUGCCUUGAAAUUACUUGAGGAAAACACAAUAACAUAUUAGUAGCUUGGUGGUUUGUUGAUGACCGCAUAAAUCCAAUUCAAGAAAUUAUGUUGUAGCUUAAGAUUAUCUGGGGAAUUUCUAACUAUUGGAAGCAAUAAUCCAUCUUUAAACACAUUGGCCAUUUGGGUUAGAGUUUUGAUUUUGAUAUUGUACCCUACCAAGACUACCAGCAUCACUGCCAUAGAUUAUGAAAAAAUUUCCAGCUAAUAUGCAAUAUUUAGCAAUUUUUUUAUGGAGUUACGUGGAAAUUUCUUGCUAAGACUAACUAUUUUGGUGAUUUUGUUUCAGCCAUGAAGCAGAGUUGGCAGCAGCCGCAGCACAACCACUUCCUGAUGAUGAUGAUGACACGUUUGAGUAGUGGGGAUUUGGCCGCCCAAGCUUGUGUUUGCUUGUCUCGCCAAACAAAAAUGAGAGAAACUGUUGCGAUGUUUGCUAUUAUUGCCCAUCAACAUGUUUUGGUUGAGAAUUUGUUCCUGCAAUGUGCCUCAGUUUUCCAGUUGAAAUCGAAGGGUGGGGGGUUGUACUAUGAUGAGAUUCAAUGUCCAGCUUCUUCAUUUAGAUAUCUAGAAUCUUGUUUUUCAUUUCAUGCAUGUUGAAUGUCAGGGCGGAGGUGUACUGUCUUGCUUGCUCCUCUAGUUCUGAAGUUAGAAAGGAGUUUUCUUACUUUUCCUUUCAUCAUUUGGUGUUAUUGUCCAAUAUCCCUUUCAUCAUUUUUAGCAUUAUCAUCAUCUCCAUCGUUGGUUCUUUUUACUCUUAAACCAUCAUAACCAAAAUCCUAAAAUUAUAAUUUUAAAAAAUCACAAACAAAAUUGAAGCAAUAUAACAUUAAGAAGCUUUCAAUUGAAUUGUAUAUAAACCAAAAUGAAAAUUAGGUAUCUAUAGAAAAAAUUCUGAUCAAACAAACCCUUGAAUGAUCAUAAAGCCAUUAUAAUUCAAUUCUACCUGUUGGAUCAAAGUUUGGUUGAAAUCUUAUGGUUAUAUCUUCAUCUAACAGUAGGAAGCACUUCCCUACAUAUGGAUUGAAUUUAAAACACAUGGAAAAAUUUUCAACCAUUGGAUCAAGUUAUUGAAGAUGAUAGAAAUAAUUGUAUAUCCCAAAAAAAUCGCCAAACUACCAGCCCAUCUUUUGUUGACUUGUGUGAGAAAUUUUCUAACAUUUUGGUCCAAGAUAAUUGAUGAAAAUAUCAACAAUCAUAGAUAUAUCCAUACUUUAAUUUUACGGAUAUAUUAGAGAUAUAUCAAUAGAUAUUUUAAAAAAAGAAAUUCGAUAAACCAUGAUCAAAACUCAUAUAAAUAUAAGAAAAAUAUUAUAACAAUGUAAUUAGAAAUAUAAUAGACAUUUUAAAAUUGUUUUAUUGAAAAAUUUGAUAUAUGUAUGAUAUAAUUUAUUAUAUUUGAUAAUAAUAUCAUAUGAAUUAAUAAAAAAAAUAUGAAUUUUGUAAAUGUGCAUUUAUUAUUAAAUUACAUCAAAUAUUAUUUCAUAAUAAUAUUAUGAUAUUAAUUAUAAUAUGUCUAAUUUUAAAAUUUAUUUAAUAUUAAAACAAUGAUUCAUUUAAUUCAAUUGUAUUAAAUGAAAUAAAAUAAAUGAUAAUAUAUGUAUAUUUUUUUAAAAAAAAUAUUUAUAUUCCUUAUAUUUAAUUAAUAUAUAAAUAAUAUUAAAAAAAAAAAGCUCAAGAAAAUUAUCACCAUAAUUUUUAUAUUUUUAGUGUUCAAUUAAAUUAAAUUAAAUUUAAAAAUAAAAUAAUUAAAACUAAUUUGUUUAUUAUAACAUUUUGUUUUUAUCAGUGUUGGUAUAUAUUAAUUCUAGUGCACAUCAUGUUAUGAGUAGCCAGGCAGCCCAAUGGUGAGUGGGGGUCUCUAAAGGCUUGUUUGGGCAGCUGCAAUUCAAAAUUUGAAUUCUCUUCAUUUGAAUUUUGACCGGGCAGCCCCUAAAGAAUCUUUAGAUCAACGCAGGGAAGCUCAAAGCCGUCGGAUCAGCGGACCAAGGAAGUAGGGAUAGAGCGCCGUUUUCACAAAAAAAAAAAUAAUAAUAAUAAAAUUGCCCAUAAAUCGCCAAAUUUUCACAAGAAAUUUUGACGAAAUUUCAUCCAUUUUUUCCGAAAUUUUGAUCUAUGACGGUAACCAUGGAGGAAAAUAUCGGGAUAUAUCGGCGAUAUAUCGCCGAUAUAUCGUGUAUCGGGAGGAGUCGACACGAUAUUUCAUGGAGAAAAAUCGAAGAGAAGAUAUUUCCGUAAAUAUCGUCAAAAUAUCGGCGAUAUAUCGCCGAUAUAUCGGUUCGGGGAGAUAUAUCGAAGAUUUUUUCAAAAAAUCUCCUCUGGUGGCAAAAAAUCGGUGAUAUAUCGGUGAUAUAUCGGAGAUAUAUCGGUGAUAUAUCACUGAUUUUUUGGUGAUAUUUCCCCUCCUUCAUGCAACAUGAUCUGACGGCUCAGAUCACGCCUGUAUUGAUCCGACGGUCUAGAUGUGAUUCCAAUGGUAAUAUGGCGAUCCAACGGCCCGAUUGCUCCCAGUUUUUUAUCCAACGGCUAAAAUUGAUUUUCAACAGUAAAUUAAUGUUCCAACGGCUAUUUUGGCCCAAAUUUCUUCUAUAAAUAACCCAAAUUUCAUCUAUUUCAUCCAUUUUUGCUUUCAUUCUUCAUUUGCUCUCUCAUUACUCCAAUUUUUAUUAAGGUUGCUCAAUUAUUUAAUUAUUUUAAGGUAUAUUUGUUUUAAAUUAUAAUUAAUUUUAUUUGCAAUUGUAAUUAAUUCAUGUAUUUUCAAUUAAUUAGUAUGUUUGCAAUAUGGAUGAUUUAAUGCUAUUUUUACAUUCAAUUGUAAUUAAUUUUUAUAUUUUUAUUGAAUUAACUUAGGUUGAUUUGAUUAUUUAAUUAUAAAUUGAUAUGUUUAUUUUAGAUGAUUAUUUGUGAUUUAUUUUCACAUUUAGAAUUAAAUUAAACUAGUUAACUUAGCUAAAUUAUUUAAUUAAUUUAAUUAACAUGAAAUAGUAUAUUUUGAAUAUGAAAUAUGUUUAUUUAAUGAAUUUAAUGUGUACAAAUUAUUGAUAUUUAAUUAAAUGAAAUAUUUUAUGUGACUUUAUAAUGAGAACAAUUACAAAAUUAACAUUUCUUAUAGAUCGACAUGAUGUAAUUACAUCUAAUAUCGCAAAUUAUAUCAUAUAUAUAUCAAAUUUUUCAAUAAAACAACUUUAAAAUGUCAAUUAUACUUCUAAUUAUAUUAUUAUGAGGUUUUUCUUGCAUUUCCAUGAGUUUUUAACAAUUUUAAGUCUACCGAUAUUUUUUUCCAGAAUAUCCGCCGAUAUAUCUCCGAUAUAUCCGAUAUAUCCGUAAAAUCGAAGUACCGAUAUAUCCGUGAUUACCGAUAUUUUCUUCCAUGACGGUAACAACCAUGGGUUUGUUAUAUCCUCCUUUAUGUGAUUAUUUUAAAUUUUUUUGUCAAAUUCAAAUCUUAUUAAAAAAUUACGUUUAUUUUUUUUUUACUAAAGGCAAUUUUAAUAACCAUGGUUACAAGGCAAAAUUACAUAAUGCCCAAUCAUGAGGUAAUUCAAAUCUGAUAAAAAAAAUUAUGUUUAUUUUUUCAUUUUUAAAUUAUCUUUAUCUUAUUAAAUUACUUUUAAAUUUGAUUUAAAUAAUUUAUUAAAAGUAUUUCAUAAUAAACACACUGACGAUGUUUCCUUUACGUAUUUUACAAAUUACAAACUGCAAAUCUUUAAGCUUUAUAAAAAUUAACAAAGCAUUUCUUAGAUUUUCGUUUUCGUUGCUCUAAGCUUCAGUUUUUCAUAUAUAUAUAUAUAUAUAUAUAUAUAUAUAUAUAUAUAUAUAUAUAUAUAUAUAUAUAUAUAUAUAUUAAUUUAUAAAAUAAUAAUACGAAAAAAUUAAAUUGAAAAAAAAAAAAAACAGAGGAUAGUUUUGUCACUAACCCACAUGCAGGACAUUUUUUUAUUAAGAAACCUUGAAAUGGGCGUCACAACUCUUCCCAAUUGCCGUCCCAUGUAAGUGCGUCAGAGAUGGAAAAUACAGCCGGACAAUAUGAAGCUCGCAAUUUCCACAAAUAGUAAAUGAUAACAGAGUCAAAUGCAGUCUACCCACCAAUGCCUUCCAAAACCCAGGGAAAAAAAAGAAACUAGAAAAGAUAAAAUCCAGACUAAACAACAUGUAACAGAUCAAAAACAGUUAAAGAGGGCUGAAUAUACCACCGGUCUCACAAGACUUAAGGCAUCGAGGGAUCUCCUCUUCAUGGUCAUUCCUCAAUAAUAGGAUAGAGGUGCAGCAACUCAUCUAUUACCAAGUCUUCAAUGAACCAAUAAUAGCCUCAAGGUUUUCUUCUUAUGGCAAAUUUUCCAGAAAAGUAUCAUCAGAAUCACAAAUACAAAAACCUUGUGCUUAAUCAUCUGACCAAUUGUCAUUGACUGAUCCAAUGGAAUUGCCUUUCAGGUUUUUCAUGAUCACUACAAUUUGAAAGUAUCACCUCUGCCCCAACCUUGUAAAUACGUGUCUCAAGGUCCUCUUUCACCCUGUUCAACCACUAAAAAUGGUUACCUAUAGAGCAGUAACAACAGUAAAUAAAAGAAACAAAUUAUGAAAGAAAAAAAUGAAAGAGUGAGCCAUUUAUAAAUUGUCUUACAAAAAUCAAAAUAGACCAUAAGAACUAUUCAGGGUUCUUAGCAGACAGAACUUUACCAAUUAACUAGGAAGGAGGUCAAGCUUUUUGAGAAUCAAAAAACAUAUGAUCCUGUUGAAUCUGAAUAAUUCAGAUCCUAGCAAAACAAAAAAAUAAAAAAACAAACAAAAAGGAGAAAAGAAAAGAAAAGAGGAAGCAUUAAAAUGUGAUCACAUUUCAAGUAGGUGAAACUACUAAAUAAAAAUUGUAACCAUUUUCUGUCACAUAUAUAUAUUUGAUAACGCGCACCUCAACUAAUCCCAUGGAGCCCUGAAGCUAACGACCAGACAAUCCUCCAGUGGCCCUGAGGGGACUCGAACUCGUGACCAUUGGGGAGCAAACCCAAGACCGGACCAACUGAGCUAUCCCUCAGGGUUCAUUUUCUGUCAUAUAUCACACAAGGUUGGUUUAACCGCAAGCAGGAGAAAAUAUCUAGUGGUAGUAUACAUUUUAUCCAUUACACUCAGAGGCAUCAAUCCAUCUCUACAAAACAAAUUUUAGAUGCAACAAAUAAAAUGAAUUGAAAUCCUAUAAAUAAUAUAAUAAUAAAAGGGAAAAGAACAUAACAAAAAGGAAAAGAAUACAAAUCACCAUAGUGGAAAGAAUACAAAUAACCAAAGGGAAGAUGAACCAUAAUCAACCUACUGCAGCAACUACCCCACAGCCAAUUCCUUCCGACCCAAUAAAUAAAUAAAUAUUGUAUAGUAAGUUGCAUGUAAGAAAAGAUACAAAUGUGAGGCCUGAUAUUGUGAUAUAUAACAAAAUGGUAAAAAGCAUGAAGAUCCUGUGUAAUAUGAUUGUUUGGAGAAAACACUAAUAAUUCCACAAAAACUGGUUGAAAUUAUGUAAAUUCUACAUCAUAGAGACAAGAAAAUUGCACACAAUCUAGGCAACCUUGGUAUUGUUUUUUAACAUGAUUAACAAGCCUGUAGUGACAUUCUUUCAGACACCAGCCAAUAGGUACUAUGACUUAGAUUAACCACUCAGCAGUUUGCUUCACUUCCCCCAAAAAAUUAUGAAGUAAAGAAAUAUCCCUCAACCAAAACUUAGGCACUGAGCAGCUUCUUCCCUAGAUGACUACAAGGAACUUACUUAGCCCCCACAAAACCAGCUAUCCCAGGCAAUGUUUUUCCCCUCUUUUGUAAAUUUCCUCAUUCAAGGAUAAAGUGAGUUCCUGAAUCAAUUUUAAAAUUGUAUGGUCAUCCCCUCAUAACACAUCCCAGGGAAUUCAAUAGUUCUUGGGUAAAUAUCACAGAUAUUGUACUUUUCUUGAUUAGGUUGUGAAAUUUCUAAAUUAAUCUACACAUUUUGAAUGAUUAUAUACUCCAAUGGCAUGCAUAGCUAUUUUUUUAAUAGGUAACAUUUUCUUUUUCCUAUGGAAUCAAACCUGGAACCUUCCCAUAUCCCUAUUGCAACCACUUGCUACUUGAGAAUAAGUUGCAUAGCUAUUCUCACCCUGGGUUUCAAUCUUGAAUUUCCCAAUGUGUUCCAUCUGUCAGAACAAAAACAAACAUCCUCCCUCCCUCAUCUAAUCAUCACAAACACCCACAAAUUAAAGGGUGUUUUACUGAGUGUAUUAACACUGAGUUCUGACAAGCAAAGAAAACAUUAAAUGUUAUAAUAGUAUGGGCCAAGACACAAAUAAACAGAAAACAGGGACAAUGCAAGAAAUACUGAAAAUUGUUUAGAACUCCCCAAAGCAAUUGUGAAUAUGGAUUUUAACAAGUUAGGACGACAGUACAGGAUUUUUUUUCCUUUUCUAUUCUUCUCACUAACAUAUACAGUUGGUAUAAGGAUUCUCAUAGCAUAUCUUUCAUAUGAUCAUGACUUACAUCUCAUAACAGAAAAAAUAAAUAAAUAAAGGUAAAAAAACAUGCUUAAUAUAAUCUUCACCAUUUACAUUUUUAUUUUCUAUGCUAUUUCUGUAUAACUACAUGAAUUCCAAAACUGCAUAUCUGACUUGGUGAGUCAGAGAUUCUUAAAUUUCAAGAACAACAAACUUUGAACCAAUAUGCAAAAGGACUUCACAUAAGUGAACUUGCAAUUAAUUUAAGCAUCCUAGUUGGGGGCAUUUAAAGAAAUGAGGUUGCUAUUCAGUUUACCUCACAUUCUGGUUGUGGGGUGGGGUGGAUGGGCCUCCACCGUUUUAUCUUCAAUAGCAGUUAAGUUCCUCUCGUAAGGACGGAGUUGUGGGUGACAGCUUAAAAGUAAUCAAGUUGAAAGAAAUUGAAGAGAUGGAAGAAGAUUUUUAUCUUAAAUGUAGGGGAAACUGAUUCUCAACCAAGAUACAAUUUAUUGUUCAUGACCUUUUUCAUGUUUGAUUUGCAUUUUACACCUUUCCUUGUCUCAAUGGCUGCAAGAUAUAAAGGCUUUUGAGGAAUCUUAUAUUGGAUGGCCCAAUUUAUUGUUCCAAUAUCUUCUGGCUGAUCCUAGGUCCAUGUCUACUUAUGGAGAAAAGUAGGGUUUGGCAUUUGAGAUUUGUUGAUUGUGAAAUAAGCACCUAAGGAACUCUUUUUUAAAUUUUAAUAUUUGAUAGUAAGGAAUAUUGAUGGGAUUUUUGUAUGAUACAAAAGUCUCACUCCUGUUCUUUAUUUCUUAAGCUUGGUCCCGCUUUCUUAAGCUCACUUGCUCACCAUCCUCUGUCCUCAAGUCCAACCCAACCCAACCCCGUGCAGCAACCAACACCACCCCCCCAAACCCCAAAGACCCCAACACUGACCCACCCAUUGGCCCACCCCUUCCCUCUCAAAAACCUAUCCUUCACUCUCUCCCCCUUCCCCUUUUAGUUAUAUAUAAGUUCGUUCAAAUGCAGGAAAAUACGAAUUUAGAUUAUUUUACCAAACUUGUUCUUCGAUAGGCAAUUUUUUUUUUCCUUUUUGGUACCUGUUGGGACUUUAACCUAGAACCUCCCACAACCUCGCCUCCACCCUUUACCGCUUGAGUUAGGCCUCAAAGACUAGACUAUUUUAAUAAACUUAUUAUGAUUUUGUCUCUCUUCAUUUUCAUAGUUUCAAGAAUAAAUUGGUUUGAGAAGGACAUGGACUUUGAUCUGCUGAUGAAUAGGAUGGUGCAUUGCAUAGCACAACAUGAAGUGCAAAAGGUGCAGCAACCCCUAUACAAGAAUAUAGGAUAUACCAGAAAGGAAAGAGCGAAAAAAAGAAAAAGAAAAAGAAAAAUCAAUGCAUGAAUGAAAUAAAGUAAAGAAGUAACCCCUAACAAUGACUUACACUCAAACCCUUCCCAUGUCUUCAAAAAAAUCCAAACACCAUAAAGAUUUUGUUCCCAUACUUACAUCAUAUAGCUGUAGACAACAACUAAAAGAUAGUAGAAUAUCUGAGUUGGUCAGAAGAAAAGAUACAACAGAUCAAAAAUCCAUAUUAGUAGAGUUGGGAUAGGAUAAGCAAAAUUCUUUAAUAGACUUUUACAUGUAUAUAGCUCAAACCCAUUUAUAUCAGGAAAAAUUUCCAUCGCAGAAAUUCUAUGUUAAAUCCAUUGUUGCAUCUUUAACUGAAGGUGGGGAUGGGUCAUUCCUGAAGAAGGAUGCAUGUGCUCUCUGGCUACAAUUAUGGGGGACUCUUUGCAAUCUGUAAAUCAACCACUUCGUAAGAAAGAGAGUUUUUUUGGAGGAUGUCUCCUUUCCAUUUGCAGGUAGAAGAAGCAUAAUAGAAGAUUCUUUUUUAGCUUGGAGCUUAUACACCACAUAAGUGCGAGGAAAUCUUUAGAAAUUUUAUUUUGCGAGGAUUUACAGUCAACCAACCUUAAAAGAUUUUUCUUCUUUUCAAUUACGGGAAGAUAUGAGGAUAUGCUGAUUUCUUUCCUCUCUUUUUUCUAGGUUUAUAUACCUUGUAAUUACAUAGGUAUAUAUCAGAGGGUAAUAAAUCCUAUUAAACAACAUUCCAAAGAACAAUUGCAAGAAUAUAAGUAUUUUUGUAAAUAAUAUGGUCUAAAGUCGUGAAAUAUUAAUGUAUUCAAAUCACAAAUUGAAGUAAACAAUAAAAAGUAAUACGCCAGAGAUAUUGUAAAGAACAAUUCAGAUUAUUUUGGAACAUUGAACUGAAUAAAAUUUAGUACUGGCACAACUUGGAAUCAUGAACUCCCUAUACCAUUGCAUUUCCUAAUUUUGAAAUCAAACCACAUUACAAGGUGUAUUAUCCAAAGUAGUGAAAAAGCAUAUAACUGCAAACAAUAAUAUUAUGAUGCAAUAUGCAAAAAGGAAAAACACAGAUCAGCAUGCAAGAGAAGCAAUGAUGUGCAGUAUUUAAAUGAAAGUUUAACAAGGACACCUUCCACAUCAGGAAAUUCAUGCCAGCUUUGUCAAAGUUUUGUUUUUACUUUCUCUGACAUAAGACGCAUCAACGGUUCACAGCAAGCCUGAAAACCGCGCAUCAUCUUUAGACCUUUGGAAGCAAGGCAUGCAUGCCUCCAACUUUGGCCCUGGAAAAUGCAGGGGAUUCAUCAAUAACAUCCUCAAAACGGAACUUCCUAUGCUGUCAAAACGUAUGGAUGAAAUCAAGUUAUUAUAAAUUAGUUCUGGAAGAUUUUUAUAUCAAAACUGAAGAGUACUGAAUAGCUGCCUACUACUUUAACUACUCAUACAUAAAUCAACCCAUACACUAACUAAUAAAAGGAAAUAAAAGUAAUGGGGAAAAGGAAACAAAAUUGCCAUUUGCUAGAAGAUGUAAUAACAUUGUCAACAUCCAUGCCUCAGAUUCCAUAUGUACACCCACAAUACAAUAAAAAUGCUUCAAUGUUCAGAAAAAAAAAUCAGUCACCCUGUCUUACACAAAAAAAAAAAUGGAUGAUGGACAUAUAUCAGAUCACUUUCAAAGAUAAAGACUUUCAAACAAUGCAGAAGUCAAUAAGAGUUCUCUCACACCAAAUGGAAAGGCUAUUAUCUUCACAUAAAUUACAUAUAUUGCCUUGAAAGAUACAAUUUGGAUCACAAAGGCUGUAUCUUUUCUCAGUUCUCACUGCAAAUAUAUCUGUUGCAUUUGCUUAGCAUUCACAACUAUUAAAAAUAUAUUCCAGAUCUUUACUAGGAAAUACUUAAGGAUUAUGAGCUCAGAAAGAAAAACUAAUUGAGAAGAGUAAUAACACCAGGCCUGAAAAUAUUCAUUUCUUUAUAAGAUCUCUGGUACAUAAUUUCCAAGUUACAGUAAUUCAUCGUCAAGACAACUGCACAUUGACCAAAGAAGACAAAGCUAAAAAAUUUAACAAUUUAUCCUGCUUCUUACAUUGUCGGAGGGGCUUUAAAGCCAAGUAAAAAAAGAACCUAUUAUAAAAAGAAGGAAAAAAAGAAAACCAAACUACUAGUUAAUUACAAAAAUUUAUUCCAGCAGAUAUUAAGUUCUUUAGCUCCAUCAAAUGUUCAUCAUUUGAAAUAUGAAGUGAACAGCGAAGAUUUGUCAACAUUGUUGAUUGUUCCCAACUUAAAGGCCCAGAAGCAUGCAAUGCCGCUAGAGUGCGGCGAUAAGCAUGCAACUCUAAACUAUGGAUACUUGCUGCUAAUUCCUUUUCAAGAGAAAUGGGGCACUUUUCCUCCUCAUCUCUCACAUCUCCCUCAUAUCUCUCAUCUUCCUCAUCUCCCUCAUCUCUCUCAUCUCUCUCAUCUUCCUCAUCUUCCUCAUCUCCCUCAUCUCCCCAAUGGUAAAAUGAUUCAGCAUCACUACAAAGGUCAUCUGUAUCUUGUCUAGGAUGUGCUAAAAUACAACUGGAAAACUUAUUAGGACCAUUAUUAUUAAUGCUACAACUACCAACAGAGCAUGACAUGCUAUCAGAAUCAUUAGAUUCUGAACUUCUUGCAAGAAAACAAUCAACACCAUUUGGUUUUCCCCUCUCCAUUUCGCAAUAUUUAGUUGAACGGUCAUUAAAGGAAGCAUGCAUGUAUUUUUCACCCAGAUUCAAUCGUGGGUAAGCAACAGCAUCUACCUUUGCUCGUAAUGGAGAUGAAUACCCGGUGAUCACUCGUUGGCGUCCACCAUUUUCGAUUGCUCUCAUCUUCUGAAUGUUUCCAGAGUAUGCUUCAAGACCAGAGGAGCAAUAUGGGGAUGCUCUCUUCAAUGUCUUGGAUGAGACCAUAGGAGAAUCCUGGAAAUCAGCAUGCUUCUGAAAAAAAUCAUCUCCUGCUUGCAAUUUUAGCUUCAUAUCAGCUUGUGGCACCUGGAAACUCAUCUUCUGAUGACAAUUUGAAGUUAACAGCUUGUUGACUCUCACAUCUUCAAAAGUGAUAGAGCCCUGAGGGCAGAAGCCAAAAGUUAGUAAGUUAAUGUAGAAGUGAAGAUAACCAAUAAGAAUCACCAACAAUUUUAGUAUUGAAGAGAAAAAGACUAAGAUCAGUAGUGGACUUGCAAUUUUAAAAAGCCCCAAUAUCCUAACAUAACUACUUGAUAAACAUAAUUUAAAAAAGGAAAAAAAAAAAAAAGGAAUACAUGAACUUGACUGAAGAUGCAAUUCUCAAAUGCCGAAACCAUGAGCAUAACCAAAACCAUUAUUGAACAACUAUUUUAAGAAGUUUGCAUUCGGACCAAUAACAAGAAACAAAACACAAGAUCAAUCACCAAAGGAGGAUAGAAAAUUACUACAAUAGAACCAGAUUAUUACCUGUCCAAUCACAACCCAUUUGUCAUCUAUCCAAGCUUGUCGCACUCUGAUGUUAGACUUGUGGACUUCAAAUUCGUGGCAAGAUCCAAGUAGCCUAACCAAAUAGUAAACCGCACAUGUAACCUUCAAAACCAUAGCACAUUUCCAAGAACCAUCAUUGAACACCUCCACAACAUCACCAGUCACCCAACUUUCCAUACCUUUCACAGGGAGAGGGCAAGGUCUAAUAGCCUUCCUAGACACCCUAUCCACAUUCGCCUUAUUUGUCAUGCCCAGAUAAGAGUCAUACCUAACACUGUAGUUGUGCCCAUUACCGGAGAUAAUUUCAGCACAGUGCCAGGCACCUGAAGGCACUUCCUUUUUGUUCAAUACCUCCACUUUACUCCCUUUCCUGAAUUUCAUGUUGGCAGCAACUUCACUAAUCUAACAUUCCAAAACCUGUCACAACCAAGAAAUUAAAUAAAAAUUUAAUCAGAAAAUUCCAAUGCAUUCCAUAAGAACAAAACAACUACAGAAAGGGUUAUAUUAAUUCCAAUGCUUUGUAGAACUUCCCUAUUUCUAUCUUUUUUCUCUUCAAACCUGAAAUCCGUUUUUUUCCUUCUUAGGAGCUGUUUUCCAUUGAAACAAACAGAUCAGGAAGAAGAGAAGAGAAUGAGAACAACUUUUAAAUAGAUCUUUAAAAACAGUAGUUAAUGAUUCAAAACUUACAUAAAAAAUCCCAUAAUCAAAUCAUAUAAAAACAAAAUCAAGGAAAAUAAAAAUUAAAAGUUUGAUUCUCAAUAUGAAUUUCUUGUACACCCAUCACUCACGGGAAACUCCAAAAUGCCCAAAAAGUAUAAAGAGAAAAUAAAAAAAAAAUAGUGAACAGUUCAAAAAAUUAGUCCCAAUUUUUUUUUUUAAAAAAAAACAUCAGAAACUUUCGAGAAAACCACAAGCAAACUUUGAUCACCAAAAUCCUUAUAAGAAUUAAUCAAAUCAAAUCAAAGUAAAGCAAACCAAAAUCACUAAAUACAUGACAACAAAAACUCAAAAUCCGAAAAAAAAAUAAAUUAACACAUACACAACCUAAAUUUCUCAUCAGCAUGCAAACACCACGAAACUAUUCACUCAUUUCCAAUUAAAUAAACAGUAAUUGAAAAAAAAAAUAAACAAAUAAUAUUGAAAAUUUGAAAACUCUGAAACUUACCUUCAUCAAGAACCAAGCAGAGCAGAAGAUGAUUUUCGAAACCUGAGAGCUGAAUCGAUUUUGCAGAAAAAAAUAUAUGAAAACUAGGGUUUGUUAAAAUGAAUUUAUUUGAAGAAAAUAAAAAAAUAAAUACAAAGUUAAUUUAUACUAAUUUUGCAACCCACAAAAAGUGGAGGUGCGCAGUGCGCACAACCUACACCUAAUUCGUAAAGCAGGAAAGGUAUAAGCGUAGAGGAUCGAGAUCCCGAGUUCAGAAGCACUCUCCUGAUCUUGCCACGUUGGCAAUGAUGGGUUUUUGAUGAGGUGUCAAGAUCAGAGGAGGGAUGAGAAAUAUUCGGGUGUGGAAUGGAGGUACUACGGUUGUCGGAGCAGGAAUUCGUAUUCUUAAAUAUUUGUGAUGAUAAGUAUUUGAUGACACGUGUACAGUCAAAUAGAUUAUUGGGAAUUUUGGGAUUUAUCUCUUAGGUAAUUUUUAAUCCUAGACUCCUACUACAACUGCACCUCUCCAUUUUAGAAUUUUUUAUUUCUUUCAAACUUAUCUGUUACGUGCCUUCUCCAUCAGUUUUAUUGGAAAUCAAUUAACUAAAUAUAAAUACUCUUACCUGAAUUUGUAUUGAUUUUCCAAAUAAACUAACCAAACACCAUUCCAUAUUCCAUAUGUGUGGAUUGAUCUUUAUUGAUAUUAUUUGUACUCUUUUAAUUUAAAGAAAAACUAAAAAUAAUUUUAAUCCCAACCAUAUACUAAUACCCUUCUUAUACAAUUUUCAAACCGCCCUAAUUUUGACCAUCUUUGAAAAUUUGGAAUAGAGAAUGAGAAUGAAAAAUCAAUAUCGUCUAACAGGAUUUUGAUUCCACUCUUCUACAUGGUAUAAUAAUUCAUCCUUACUCUCAUUUUGUUUCCAUUCCUAUUCUCGGGUAACAAACGGACUUCAAUUGUAUUGAAAAAGGGGUCAAAAGUAUUGAUUAUAAGAACCCAAUAAAUAUUUGAAAUUUUACAUGUUUUGGGGUUUCAUUGAUUAAGAAUUAAAAUACAGAAUUAAAAGAGAAAAUUGAAGUUUGGUCUUAUUCAAGGGGCGGAAAGGCAAGAGUGGAUGAAUGUACAAGCUGGACAUUGAAGUUUUGUUGUACCAACCUCUCGUGUCAUUGUUGCCUAAUCUCAAGUGGUAUAAUAUUUUAGAAUUCUUGGAAUGAUAGAGCCAUCAAGCCAUCAAAUAAAAGAAAGGAAUGGGGGUAGUGUAUGAGUUGCUUCAAUUGACCCAGGAUGAGGACCAAAAAACAAUGUCAAGAUUCCUCCCCACAGGCAUCGAUAUGAUGCCCUUCAUUGCCUUUUUCUUAAUGAGAAGCAACAGAGAUUCCAAACCUUGUGUAAUGUGAGACAGAUCCAAAACCCAACGAUGUUUGCAAUGUAAACCAGGGCAGGCAGCCAGUUAUUGUGGGGUUGGAGCCUGAGGCCAGCAGCCUCACCAUUGCCCACUAGGCAAACCUGCAACCUUACCACAGAUGGCUAACAGAUUUAUCAUUUAUAUGCAGUUGCUGUAAACAAUGCAUGGUCCCUGAAUUUUCUUCCUUAGAAUGACGGUUAAUACAAGCCUUCCAGGAAGAUUGGGGUGCUCAACAACAGCAUCCCACCGUGAUUAACAAUAGUAUCAACCCAUGAGAACAUGUAGAAAGUUUCUCUUCGAUUAAAUAAACUUAUAAAAAGAAUACCAUAUUUCCAGCCUUAAUCUUACAAUUGCCGGUUUGACUCAAAACCAUGACAGCCUAUAGCCAGUUUCAGAAAUUCUGCGUUGGGCAUCAUUUUAUACAUAUAAUACCCACAUAGAAAGAACACGAUAGUGGGUUAUCUAGCUGGGUCCAUGUUUUCUCCUUAAAGGCCAAAUAUCCCAAGAGUAGGCAGCACAAAAUCUGAAUAAACAAGGCCAACAGAUCCCUCCCAAGACAGAUACGAGAGAAGCGUGCUUCAUACCAUCCAAGGUGUUACACAUUGGAAGGUUAGCAAUUCUGGAUCGUUAAUAGCGGGGCAGAGUCUAGAAACCUGAGAAAAGUAAACACAUAGCUUAUCUAGAGAUCAAAACGUGCAUGCUGGCCUGAGCAUUCAAAAGAAACAACAAACUUGGGGAUGAAUUAGAAAGGUGAAUAAGGUUGGCUUUGAAUUUGCAACCAUGGACUUGCCUCUAUUUCAUAUUGAAGUUCAGAUGGCAUAAAUGUCCAGAAAAGUACAAAAUACCAAUGUUUCAGAUCCAUGCCAUUCAUCACGUAUAAAUGCUGCAAAUUGUUAGAAAGGACAGAAAAAUAAAAACAGACAGCAAAGGAGGAAACCCAUCUAAGAAGAUAAGAUACAUCUUAGGGGAAAUAAGAAAAACUCUAAGAAGGCAUAGGGGAGCCUAAAGGUGCAGCAAAACCCUUUUAGCCAAAGAAGAUCCAAAUUGCUACCCUAAAUUCAAUAUACAAAUGCAUCAAAAGGCAAAGAAAUAUCCACAAUUUCUCUCAUAGAUUAAGUGCUAAGAAAUAGCCAAUCUAGAAUUAACCAUCUGAUCACAUUACUCAGGUCCCACAAUAAUGUGAAUCUUACCCGUUUUCUCUAGUUUCCCAAGCCCCCAUAAGAGUGCCAAAAUGCGAUGAACUGUUGGCACUAGUCCUACAUUUUGUCUCUGUAGACCAGGCGAAUGCAGGCUCCAAUACCCAACCAAAGGGCCACUGCUGUAUCAAUCAAAAAGACGGUCUUCAUUACUGGACAACAAAAUUGAUUAUAAAAUUUAUUAACACUCUCCAAAAAAAAGGAAGGUACUGUUAAAACAAUAACUCAAACCACUUCAGCUUCACCAACCAAUCUCAAGAGAAAGAUACAUGAAUACUGCCAGUAACAGUAUGCUCUGGGUUAUCAGUGGAGAACACAUUAAAGUUUAAUUUCAAAUGGCUACAGGGAAAGAUACAUGUAUUUUAGAUACUCAAUUUGUUCUUGUUACAAUAGAGACUAGAAUUUCAAUCUCUAACAUGAUACUUUGACUUUUAGUAAACACCUAUAUCCCUAAAAUUAUAUAUGAAUGGAAUAUAAUUGAGUAGCCAAACUAUCAAGCUUGAAACAGCUUGACCAUUCCAGCUAUAAGCCACAAGUGAAAUAGAAUCACUAGUUCACUGAUAAACCAGUAGGCUAUAAAUUUUGCUUACAAACUCAGAUCUUGCUUACCAACCAUGAUACAAUACUGCACAUUUCUGCAAUUAUCAUUCCUGUUAUCAAUAAUUAACAGGUUGUCUCCACAUGAAAUCCUUCACAUGCCAAAGUGGUUAAAAACAACACAACCACACAAACAUGUGGCUAGUAAUAGUGGCCUGCUUACAAUUACUUAUCUCAAACCUGCAGUUUUUCAGUUUAUACAGCAAGAAAUCAGGUCUUUACACUAGGAAAAUUUAAAAAAUUGAUCAAUUUAUGCAACAAUAAAUGCCAGGAGUAUCUUAGCAUUUGCUCUAUUAAAAAAGGAAAAAUCAUAUAUUGGCACAAGCAAAUGUCAGCCAAUUUGAUAACUUAUACAAAAAAAAGUGUAUGGACUUAUGGUUCAUACCUCGAGAGAAUGCAGAAGGUGUAAUCAAUGUUAAAGGAGUGCCCAGCAUUCUAGAGUUGUUUAGAUCCAUUGAUCCAGGGAAAGAUGAGGACAGUCAACCUAGUAGAUAAGAAGGGGGGAAAAAAGGAGCAACUGGUAAGUAAUGCACAAGCCCAUCAGAGUGAUCCCUAUAUAUAAAAAACACACUAUAGGAUAGUGUAAUGGACCUUAUCUUCUUGGACGGAUAAGCUUACAAGGAUAAGCGUCACAGCUAACAACAUAUUUCUUCCUUGAUGACUUAAACAAAGGCAAGAAGCAAUUUACAAAGAAUGACCAAUUGAGUGCUGAUUUAACCAUGUGAAGGCCUAGAAAGGGAUCGAUCUCCUUUGAACUUUCCAUUUAUGAGAAUAUCAUAGGUUACAUCAUCAGGUACAAGGCCUCUGUCAAGCAUCUCAUCAUGCAAUGUAAAAGCCUCUUUCAAAUUCCCUUCCCUGAAAUAACCAGCUAUCAGUGUGUUAUAAAUAAGAACACUAGGAGUCAUAUUUUUCCUAUCCAUCUCUUCCAAGAUCUUCCGUGCAUUCUCUAGCUGUCCUUUAUUGCAAAGUCCAUUUACCAGAACAUGAAAUGUGAUAAUAUCAGGCACAAUACCCUUGGAAAGCAUCUCCAUGUAAAGAUCUGAUGCAAAGACAAGUCUACCUUCUUUCAGCAAUCCAUCAAUCAAAGUUGUGUAUGUUCCUAAAUCACAAGGAAUCCUGUCAUUGAUCAUCUUCUUAUACCAAACAAGUGCUGCUUCCAUGUUAUUCAGAUCUCUGAAGCCACUAAUCAUGCUGUUGUAAACAAUUCUAUUUGGGGAUAAGCCAACUUCAAGGAGUUCAAAGAAAAGAUCUUGUGCACUUUCCAUAUCCCUUCUUUUGCAAAAACCAUCAAUAAGAGCACUAUAUGCUGUAACAUCCAAUUCAAGACCCUUUUCUCUCAUUUCAUCCCGCGUUUUCAAAGCGAGAUCAAUCCUAUUACUUUUGCAGAACCCAUUAAUCAAGCUAGUGUAAGUAACAACAUUUGGGGAAACUCCAAAUUCACACAUCUCUCUAUAAACAGCCAAUGCAGAAUCGAUGUUACCCUCCUUGAUAAAUCCAUCUACAAUGCUGUUGUAAGUCAUACAGCUUGGAAUGAAACCCUCCUCCAAAAAAUUCUUCAGCUUAUCCCUUGCCUCUGACAUUUGGCCAACUUUGCACAAACCAUUGAUAAUUGUAUUAAAUGUAAAGUCAGUAGGGGCAAUAUUUAAGCUCAGCAUUUGGUCAAACAAGUCUAAGGCUUUUUCACUAUCACCUUUUUUGAAAUUCCCAUCUAUCAAAAUAGAAUAAGUGACCACAUUUGGUUUCAAAUCCCUUGCGAGCAUGUCUGAGAAUACACUGGAUGCCAUAUCCAUAUUCCCUUUCCUGCAGUGGCCAAGUAUCAUGUCAUUGUAAGAAACUACAUUGGGUACCAUUCCUUGAUUUACCAUAUUAUCCAAUAAACUGCAAGCUUCAUCCAUCUUGCCUCCUUUGCAUAGCCACGACAUCAUGAUAUUAUACGUAAAAAUAUUGGCAACACCACAAUCAACCGCUUCAUCAAACAGCUUGGAUGCUUCUUCCCACAAUGGAGCUUUCAAGUAACCCCGUAAUAGGGAAUUCACAUUAAACACACUAGGCGGGAUACCAUUGAGUUUCAUUUGAGUGUACAGUUCAGAAGCCUUUUCAAUGUUCCCACUGUUACAGCAACCUUCAAUCAAGACUGAAUAUGUAACUUUGUUCGGAAAAAGUCCAUCUUCAGUUAUCUUAUUAAACAAAUUCAAAGCACUAUCCAAAUUGCCUUGAGCACAAUACCCCUUCAUUAAACUCGUUGCAACCACCAAAUUCAUCGGCUUCCCACAAUUUAUCAUCUCCUCCUUUAGCCUUAAAGCCUCCACCAUAUUUCCCUGUGCCACACAAGCAACAAUAACACUAGUGAAAGUGGCCUCUGAAGGAACCCACCCCCUCUCUUUCAUCUCCUCCAACAACUCAAGACCCAAAUUCGAAUUUGGUUUCUUGCAAACAGCCUGAAUAAUAAUACUAUAUGCCCCUGCAUCAAGUUUAACACCCCUUUCCUUUGUUUCCCUAAAAUACUCCUCCGCCUCCUCCACCCUCCCUUCUUUCAGACAAGCUCGAACCAUGACAUGUACUGUAAAGUGAUCACCAUAUAUUCCUCUCAAAACCAUUUUAUUAUACAAAUCUCGCAAUUCCCCAAUCAUAUUUCUCCUAACCAGAGCAGUCAAAAGAAUAUUCAUAUACGGAACCCAAGGAAUCACAUCCUGACAGAUCAUCGCAUUGAAACAAUCGAUUGCAUUUUCAAUUCGAUUGGCCCUAAUGUAAGCAUUUAGCAAAUAAUUAAAAACCCGAUGAUCUAAUUCAAAAUCGAACCUUUUUGCGCAGUUGAUUAGAUGAUCAACAAAAACAACUGGACUGGGAUCCGAAUCACCCGAGACAUAUCGAUUAAGCAAUUUCCGAGCAUGUCCAUGAGUCUCAGGCGACCGCAUCAAAAUGUGGAGCAAAACACAGUAGGCAUCUACCCCUCUGAUAAAACCACGCUGCGUUUCGGCCCGUUUAAAGUAUCUCAGAGCUGAUUGUGGGUCAUUGACGUGGCACAGAAGAGCAUCUAUUACAUGGUUUUGUGAGAGAGGCGUGGUUUCUUGGUGAAUUUGCGAAGUGGGUACGGUGUCUUGGGAGUAUCUUGGAUAUGGGGAAGAUGAGUUUCCUGGAAAACUGGACUCUGGACUGAUUUUCUCGGGAAAAUUGGCUUUCGGAUUGGGAUCCUCGGGAAAAUGUGUAAGUGAUUCUGAGGUGGAUUUCUCAAGAAUCUCUGGUUCUGAUAUGGCUGGUGGGAUAGAAACAGAGCAGACACAUUUCGGGUUUGUGAAAGGCCAUCGUAAAAUUGGAGAGAAUGUGGACAAAGAAAUUGCAGAUCUCAUGCUUGGUUUCUGCAGAAACGAAGGGCUCUACAAAACCUCGAAGCUGUUAAACUUAAACCCUACCGGUCCUCGAUUGUGAUUUGGGCCUGGUUUGCUAUGGGCUGGGCUUGUUUGCAUCGGGUCGGAGAUUUUAAACCCAAGCCCAAUUUAGUCGGGCUCUGACUGAAUCUCAUGUUUCUAUGAUUGAAUAAGUAAUAAUUUGCCUAUGGCUAUAUUAUCAAACCUUCUAAAAAGACAGCACCAAUCAGAUGAUGCCAUAUAUCUAUUUGUUUAUAUCCCAACUUUGAUCAUAUUUAUUUAUACCCUUAUCUAAAGGUUUAAAUAUUAUCAUAUACAUUUUAUCACUUCAUAGAUGCCACCAUGGUACCUAACAUUGUCCUAAUAAUUUUUAUAAAAAAAUUAUAUACUUUCUAUUGGUUACGAUAUCAUUGAUUAUGUCUGAAAAACAAAUUUUAUGAUACAAUUCAUUGAUAAUGAAAAAUUAAAGUAUAAAUAUAAUAUAAAACUUGCAAUGUUAUGUAUAAGAAAAGAUAAUUUUUCAAAACUAUUUUUAAAACAAUUACCAAACAUACCCUAAAUUUUCCCAAUCCGUGAUUCAUAUGUCCCAAUCCUUAGUUCUAUUCUUGACUCAUGAACCCCUUAGCAUGAUCUCUUCAAUCAACUAUCAAAUGCUCAUGAAAAAAUACCAAAUCAAACAUAAUGAUAAUCAUAAGAAUUUGAUUGAUUAAUGACUACUAUCAGUUCAUAUUUAAUAUUGUGACCGAAAUACAAAUAGAAUGUCCUCUAACAAGAUUGUGUGGUGUUGAAUGCGAUGAUACAAUUUGCUUCACAGCCUCAAGUGAAUAUACUGUCCAUACCCCAAUUAUAUUCACAACAGGAAAUUUGAUAAAUUUUGCUUUGCAUUGAGCUUUAUAGGAAUCCAGAUGGAUGGGUCAUGCCUUUGCUAUAAGAAAUUGAAAAUGUGCAUUGUAGAGUGGGACUGACUACAAUCCUGAAGGUUGAGUGAAUAGAUAUGUAAGUAAUGGAGCAACCACUGCUACGCUUAAACUGUUCCCCAGCAAUGCGUAUCUGCAUACAAAAGCAACUCAAUUAUAUACAAAAUUUAUUCAUCACAAAUAUUUAUGAUUUACCAAACUUUGCUGUAAUCGACUAAUCCCACGGGGCCCUGAAGUUAAGGACUGGAUAAGCCUCCAGUGGCCCUAAGGGGACUCGAACUGGUGACUAUUGAGGAGCAAACCCAAAGCCAGACCAACUGAGCUACCCCUUAGGGUUAAACUUUGUUGUACUCUUACCAUGAGGCCAAUAGAUUUUUUUAUCCAGAUUGAAAAUGAAUUAAAGUGAGAAAAAGAUGCAACUGGGAACUAUGCAAACAGGUCAGAGAUUAAAAGAAACAGAUAACAACAUAUGAUGUGGUAAUUACUUAUUUCCACUAUAAAACACCCAACCCAUGAAAACAUAUAAAUUGCUCCAUGCUAAUAGGACUUUUUCAGAAGGAGCUGAAUGUUCAGUUUCAUCAAAGCAAGUGUUAUAUCUUUUAUAGAAACAGCAAUAUAUCUCAUUAUAUGUUGCACUUGAUGAGGCAUGCAAACAUAAUGGUGAAACAUGAUACUAUUAAGGAUUGGACUGUUAAAGAAGAAACUUCUAGGGAGCUCUCCUGAGGAGAGGCAACUGCUAAGAUGAUGAAAAUGUACAAAAUUUUAUGGUUUCGUCCUAUAAAGCGAAGCUAUAAUACUCGGUCUCUCCAAUUUUCUGGGUUUUAUCUACUAAAGGGAAGCUAUGAUACUCGGAUUCUCCAACUUCAGCCAGCGUAUUCAUAUCAACACAACACCUUAUGGGUGUGAGUAUAUAUAGCAUCAUUGUUUAAUACUCAUAUUUUGUUUUGGAUAUGGUUCUUUGAUUCUAAUUGAUUUCCUUUUACUACUACCACAUUCCUUAUCAGAUAGUUACAUUGAAGAAAGAGAGAGUUGCUGGAACAUGACCUUUUAGAGUAAUAUUAAAAUAUAAUAAAGAAAAGAAAAGAAAAGAAAUAGAUAAAAGAGAAGGAACAAAGCUUUUAUUCUUUGUUAUGAUCUAUCCUAGUGUCCAUAUUCAUUAUUGGGAACCUUUUUAGCUAAGUCUUAUUAUUAUAUCCUAAAAUUUUUACAUCUAAAAUAUCAUCCACCAAGAAACAUAACCUACCCACACCAGAACUCAAACCCAUGCAACAUUUAAGUCAAGGGUCAAGCCACUUGAUUGUAGGACUGGGAAACAGUUCUAUGGGAUUCCAAAAGUUGGUUUCCAUGUGAAAUACAUGCUUUAGAUCACUAAUCCUAUCAACAAUGUAAACAUUAUCUUAAGAUCAUAAAAAUUAUAUUUCAUUCCACAAUUUAACUGGAAAGUGAAAAAUAAACACAAAACUUAGAAUAUGUUAGGAAAAGAAAUGUCAAUUUAUCUAACAACUAAACGCAACAUGAGACUAGCAAGAGCUUAGGGUAAAUUAUAGUUUCUUAACCAGAUCUCCCAUCUGUUUUAUUAGUAAAUUGGUAAAAAUUUGUCAAAGUUCAUUGUUCCUACUUUCAUCCAAUCCUCACACAAAAUCAUAAUAACAAAAACAGAGGGAUAAAUGUAACAUACCGCUGUCUAAGGUUUACAUGCUGUGGAAAGUGAAAAUCCUCUGGGAAAGAAUGCAGAUUAGCAACCUAAAAGUUAUCAAAAUCAUAAAUUAGUUGAUAAGAGACAAAGACAAAAGAAGAAAGAGAUAUGAGCAAAAUUUACACACCUCUCUAGGGGUAAAAUAUCUAAGACACUGCUCCUCCAACAAGGAUGCUUUAUCCUUCUUUGACUGCAAGUCGCCCAUUUUAUAGAAGUCAUGAAAAAUGAAAAUGGUCAUAGCAAUAAUUUCUAUAGUGUGAACUAACCUUGAAUGCAAACUAAAUUUAACUCAGAUAUUGGGAGUGUUGCAGAGAACUACCAUGGGUUGCACAGAACACUGGGGGCCGAAUUAAUUGCGGGAUGUGAACUAAACAAUCAAAUAUUUUGAAACUAAAUCUGGAUAUUGAUCCAGUGAAAUGCCUGGUUGAAUUAGACCAGGGUUUUUGGUCGCAUCCAUCCAACAUAAAUAAAUAACUAUUGGGAACCAUUGGAUGCUAAAAAAAUUCUGCAAUCUUUCAACCGUUCCUAAAUUUUACAUCAUGUAUAAAAAUAAGAUCAUCACAUCUAAGGGCUAAUAAGUAUUUGAGCUCACCAAACAAAUGAACUGCCAUGGCAAACAAGCCCAUAAGUCCAUUUGAUCAAGUAUGAUGAACUCAAAACAUUGCGAUGAGCCAGGUUGCUGAAACCUUCAUGUAAUGGCCAAAGCAACCAGACCAGCUAAACAGACAAAAUUUUAUAACAGUAGUCCAAACUAACGGUUGCAAGAGUGCCUGAUAUAAUAUGAGAAACAAUCAAGACUAAGUUUUUAAAAUAAGAAUAUCUAUCACGAAUCAGCUCUAUGCUGUUUAAGAGACUGUCUUUACAGGACUCACUCAGAUAUUCAAGAAACAGUGAACAUAAUUGAAAUUCAUACCUGGCCAGUUGCCAAAAGAGAGCCAGUACCCUUCACAUACCGAUAAUAACUUUUUGUAAAACAGCAGCAACGCUUUGAGUCAGGAUAGACAAUAUCUAUGAUCUUUUUAAGGAUUCAUUAAAAGAGAGAGAGGGGUUUAUUCAAUAAAAAGUACAACAUGACUAAUUACAAAUGGUACAGGUAAUCAACGGGAAUAAGCAAGGAUACCCAUAGCACUUCCCCACCUCUCUAUCAAGCUCAAUGGAACAGAAAACUGGUCCCAAGAAUUACUGUCAGAUCUGUCUCUUUCAUUGUUCUCCAACUCUCCAGAAGCAUCUGUAGAAACACUAAGGGUGUCCAAGUAGCUGGACUCUGUUUCUAAUGGGUUGAUAGUAUUCUUGAAUUCAAGAAAUCUCUCCACUGGCUCACAUGAUUGGAGCAACUUAUCCCAGAUCUUCUCUGAUUGAUCAUGUUCAUCAAUCAGUGAGUCAUCCUCAUGACCAAAUAAUGGGCUUGGAGUUGAAAGUAGUUGGUUAUUGAAGAGUUGGUUUUCAAAUGAUAAAGGUUUCCUUUUUGCCUGUAGCAAUAAGUAGAUUACAUUUAUCAAUUAAAAAUCUGGACAAGUGUGUGUAUAGGACUUCUUAAAAUCAUGAUAAUUUUCCACCCUUGUAUCCAACAAAUGACCAUAAAUUGGUUAGGCUUUUAGUUUGAAUUGCAUGAACUUCCACAAACCACCUUGAAUGAGACCUGAUUUUUUAUAACAACCCUAAUUUUUAAAGGGAAAUAUUUAUCCAAUUCAUAACCCAUCCUAAGUUCCAUCACCUUGUUUAUUCUUAUAUGGAAAAGAUAAGAAUAAUGACAAUAAUAAUAGUUAUAAGUGAGACAGCAUUUACCAGGCAAAAGUAUCGUGGCCUGGAAUAUGGCACGCCAAAUUGUAUUGGGCUCAAAAUAAAUUCCUGGGUAACAAAACCAGUUUUUGAUAAUAUCUCAAUCAUUUUCUCAUGUGUAUCAGAUGUCUGCAACAAAAAAGACAGUACAAAAGAUAAGCAAAGAAUACUUGAUUGAAAAUAAAAAAUUUAUAUGCCAAGUUCACAGACCUCGAAUCCAACAACAUUCUCAACAAAAAGCAUAAGUGGAGGAUGUAAGGUGUGCUGUAUAAGUUCAAGAAUCUUGAGAAAAGAAAAUGCCCGGGCAUCGCCAGAGUGCUUUUGGAGACCUAAUCACAAAAUAUUUUGAGAAAACAUCAAUCCAAAGAUAAUUCAAAAAACAAGAAAAGGAAAGCAACAAUAGUUCACCUUGUCGGGUGUAUGGCUGGCAAGGAGGAGAAAGAAGCCAUGCAUGAGCUCUAUAUCUAUCAAGAUCAGCAGCAGUAAGGCUCUGGAUGUUACCCUAGGACCCAAAAAAAAAAGUCCAUUUUAAGCAUCUUAUAAGCCAAAUGUCAAAUUUUUGAAAUGGGUACCUCUGAUUUUCUUAUUUUUGAGCAGCUCAAAAGCCAAAUACCAAAAAUUUGAAAAAUGGGCAAUUAGGAUUUUCCAUUUUCAUGAACAGCCCAAAAGCAAAAAAUAAAUUAUAAAUAAAUAAAUAAAUAAAUAAUAAUAAUAAUAAUAAGCUGCCUACUUUCGGGUGGAAAGCAGUAUUCCUCCAUUUAAUUGCUACUGAGAAACAUAAGGAAAAAGAAGGAAAAAAAGGUUUAUAUUUAUGUUGGUUUGAUUCUAAGCACAAUUAAAAUUUAAACCAAAGAGUAGGAAGUAGAGUGAGGUGAAUGCCAAAUUCUGAAAAAUCUAAAGAAAAAGGGUUUUUCUGCAUAUUGCGAAUAGGAGUUGAAGUGGAAAGAGAAGAAAACCUGGCAAGGGCGGUGACCGAAAUUGUGUUGAUAAACAUCGUUGGCAAUGUUGUUGAUGUCGAAUGCUUCGACAAUUUUCGCAUUCACACCUCCCCUCUUUAAAGAGUAUCUCUAUCGAAACAUACACGCAGAGAUACACUGAAAUUAUAACGAACACAUAUAUGCAUCUACACAUAUGGAGAGAGAGAGAGAGAGAGAGAGAGAACCAUUCCGCCGAUGCCACUGUAGAAUUCGAGGACUCGCCAUGGAUCCUCACCUUGGGGAUUGCACAAACCCUUCUCCAUUGAUGGGUGCUUCCCCUGUGAGAGAGAGCGGCGCCAACUCAGUGCCUUCACGAAAGUUGCAUAUCAUACGACGUCAAUUGUCGUCUCUAGGGAUGAACUUGGGAAAAUCAAAGCAAGAUAUGGUUUUAUACUACAAUCAAAUUAAAUUAUGUAAUUUACUUUUUAUUAAUAAAAAUUAUUAUAGAUGUAAAGAAUUAUUAAAAUAGUUCUCAAGACCAUUUCUUUUUCAUGUAAGUUUUUAAGAGUUUUUACAUUUUAUAUUAUUUUUAUAAUUUUAAAAAUAAAAAAUAAAAAAUAUAUUCAAACGGACACUUGAUUAUUUGCACCUUCAUGCAAUAUUUCCAAUUUUUACCAGCAAUUAGGCUAAGAAAAAUAUUGGUUAAUGUGAAAUUGUUGUUUAAUUUGACAUGCAUUUUGUUCAUUUCUUGUAAGUUGUAUUUAAUUUAGGGAUUUUUGUCUCGAACUUAAUAAAGAGCUGCACUUUAGUACUCUAGCAUCAUUUAUUAACAGACUUACUUUUUUUACACUUCGAUUCAAAUUUGGUAGAAAAAACUUUAAAUUAACGUUGUUGAAGUGAAUUUUCUAAAAAAGAUGUUCGCAUAAUUAUUCAUAAUUUUUUCCUUCCACUAGAAAAUGUGGCAACUUAAUUUAAACUAUUGACAUAUUUCUUUACAUUCUAAAUAUAUUGUAUUAUUCUUUAGUAAGACGAUAUGUUAUGUUAUAUUUAAUUUGUGAAAGGAUAAAAUAAAAAAUAAUAUAGAAUGUAUAUUUUUUUAAUAUUUAAAAUAAAAUUUAUAUUAUAUUCCAAUAUUUUUUAUUUAAAAAAUAAAAAAUUUCUUAUAUUUAAUUAUAUUCAUGAUUAAAAAAUAUUUAAGUUUUAUAAAUAAAUUUUUUUAUAUUAUGUUAUUCAAUAUAUAAAAAUAAUUUAUAUAUCAUACAUUAAUAUUAUUUUAUAAAUACUUUUUUAACCAUAAAUUUAAUUUAUAAUGAAAAUUUUUAUUUUAUAAAAUGAUUACAUAAAAAAAUUGAUAAAAAAAAAAUUAUGAUACAUGAAAUGAAAUAUGCAUAUUUCAUAUAUACAAAGGAUAAAAAAAAGAUGUAUUUCAUCAUUCAUUAAAUAUGGGAUAUUAUAUAGUAUUUCAUCUUUUAUCCUAUCACAUUUUUCCCUUGAUGGCAAAUCAUCCUUUGUAGUUAAGGCACUUUUGAGUUGUGCUUUAAGAAUUUUAAUAUACGAUUACAUCAUAUGGCAAGUUAACAGGAUAUCUUUGUCCAUCCAUAUGUCAUGGACUUUUAGUCCAAUUAUGCAUUUUUAUUGCCUUUGUACCCUAUUAUAUGCUUUUGAAAUCCCUAAAGCACAAAUAUCCCACUAUCGGGGAAUGGCUCCCUUUCCUCUAAUUCUUAAUGAAUGAAAUAAUUAAGCAUGCCAUAGAAUUUACCCUAAUAAGAUCCCAUUGAUUGUAACAGGGGACAAAGAUAUUCCUUAACUUAAGGUUUUUAGACUUUUUGUCUUAUAAUUUAAAAGAAAUUUGAUGUAUUCUAAUAUUGAUUCCUUUGGGUAGGUUUAUAGGUUACAAGGGGAUAUAGAAUGUGGUUAAUACGAUUAAUCAUGUUUCCAAAACUUGGGUUUAGAUUACGGAGACAUGAGGGAAAAAAAAAAGAGGAAAAAGUGGAGAUAGGGUUAAGUAGGUUCGGAAGAAGGAAAGAAGGAACAUAGCUGAGAUUUUACCAAGAGUCUAACUGAAUCACAAUGUUUUGUUCGAUUGUUCUAGUCCCGCAUCCCAUUCAUUUGUAUUUUGAUUUCAUUUUUUUAUACUUUGAUCUCAUUUGUUUGUACCUGAUUCCAUAUAUUUGUGUUAUCUAUCCGAAUGAGAUUGCAAACUAAUCAAUAUCCUCAAAUUUUCUUGUAGCAAUGAGAUAGGUCAAACACUUAGGAAGAAUUAAUUUCAGUUUAAUUAAUAAAAAGGGAAACAAGAAAAAUAAAAUAAUUGUUCUUUUGUGAUUGUACACCUUUCUUUAAUGUCUUUCCAAAUAAUACAUCAACGAGUCCACUGAGGCUUAUGCCUCAAGCCUCCAGGCAUGACAAGCGUACUUGAGCCGUGCCUUUGCCAAACCUUGACCCGUAAGUCUAAUGCAUUUUUUCCUUGCGCCUCAUCGCAUUUUCGAGGCGCUUUGCCAUGAAGCACGCCUCAACAUGCACCUGAAAACAUAUCAUAGAAUGAGAAAAGGAAAAAAAAUAAAUUAAAAUAUGAUAAUUAUUUAGAUGGAAAGGAAAAUAUUCCACUGCAAAAAACUUAAUUAUAUAUACAAAAGAGAAUAUACAUACAUAUACAUGAUGGGUAUCAAAAGGGCACUAGUGGUAGGUUUGGCUCGAUGGAAAAAACAUGGAAACAAAGGAAAACAGAAGUUGAAACGAAGACAAAAACAGAGGGAGAAACUAGAGAGAGAUGAGCAAAGGGAAAAAUGAAAGAAGUACUUUAACACUACGUCCACCGUGAAAUAGAGAGGAGGCAACCUCGACAAGAGAGAAAACAUAGAGACACAUUGCCGAUGAGAGUUGUCAAGAUUAGGGUUUUUUUCUCUUUUCUUGUCCUAUUUGUAUUUGAUAUUUGUUUUGAUUUUUGUUUUUUUUGAUACAUCAAUGACUCCAUUGAGGCUUACGCCUUAACCCUCAAGGCAUGAAAAGAGCACUUGAGGCAUGCCUUAGUCACGCCUUAACCUUUAAGGCAUAUGCCUUCUAGGGUUGAUCUUUUCUUCCUUGCACAUCACCUCAUUUUUGCAGGGAGACCCUUCAACGUUGUCUUUCCACCACCAUUAAUUGCAAGGAUUGAAUUGCUCUUAUAAAUGGUUUAAGACGUGCAAGCAAGCAAGCAAGCUUGACCAAAACUCCCACUUAUGAACCUGAAUAGAUUGUUUAUGCCAUGAGACUUGCAAUUCUAUUUCAGCUUACCACCAAGAAGUGUGAUUAAAAAUACAAAAUAGCAGAGAAGAGACAAACAUAGAUUAAUUAUCAUAAAGAAACUCCACAACCUUACUUGAAAAACAAAAGGAAUAGACAAAAAUCUUUCACCUUACAGCUAAAUAAAUAAUGUUCAUUAGGUUUCUUCAUCAUCAUUGCAACCUAUGUUUGGAAAUUCACAUUCAACAAAAGAGGUCAUACUCUGGCCUCGGAUAUCGUCUGAUAGUUUCUGCCCUUUUCAAUACCAAAACAACUCUAUUUUUGAAGCAACCAUCAUGGCAAAAAUGUAAACAUUUUCUAGUUAUGUACUAUUUUAUGGCAGAAAUAUACAAAGCUAAACCCAAUUGUGCUUCCAGAGAACAUUCAAUUGGUAAGCACAAGCUUUCCACAUGAAGCAAUAUCCUUGCCAACAGGGGACACAAAAAGGAACUUCAUACAGGCAGCAAAUAUAACCUCCAAGAUUUUCAAAAGAGCAUAUCAAUUUCUUCCGCAUUCUACUGAGAUGUGUCCCAUCAGAGAGUCAACCAUUCACAAUAUUUCAGGUCAAACCCAUGAAACAAACAAUACAUUAUUCCUUAACAAGAAUCCGUGCGGCCAUAUUAAAACCAAAAACCAUGUGUAUCAUGAUGCACUGGGAAAAAUAUUAGAAAAAUAAUAGGGAUAAUAAAUACCUGUAAUUGAAUUUCAUUCACCAAUAAUCCCGGCAAGAACACAAUCCAUCUUUGAAGUGGUGGAAUCUCUUAGCAUCUCGUAUGAUGAGCUCCCUGCCAACAAGCUUUGAAAUGAUCUUCAGGGCAGUGUGACAGUCACCACAAACACGAAGAUUCUUGAUUACCCUAAUAGGUGAACGCGCUGGGCUGCUGAGAAGGCCGUAAGCAACAGCAAGUCUCUCACUAUGAGCAAGAAGAGCUUCCUCCUUGCCUUCUUGGUCUAUGUCAUGCAACACAAAUCUGGUCUCUGGCACAUAACCAGCCUCUUUCAUUUGUGCCUUCAAUCCCCUUAGUUUUGCGUAGAUCUUGUCAUUCUCAGGAUGAGAUGUAUCCCCCGCUCGAUAUUCAUGGACCCUGCUCCUAACCUCUAAAAGAUUUUGACUGGCCAAUUUCUUCUUCUCUUUCUCUUUCUCAAGGUCAGAAGCUUUCACUGGUACAAGGCCUGCUUUUGAUUGCUCAGUUAAGCGGGAGGGCUCCAGAUGCUCAACAAGCUCAGCACAGCGAUCCCCAAUUUCCAUAUUCCCUUGAACUCUACAUAUAUUCAUCAAGGUUUCCCAGACAUCGACACUUGGCUCUAGCGGCAUCUUCUCAACGAACUCUAGUGCUUCAUCCAAGUACCCUGAAUUACCCAGCAUGUCCACCAUACUCGCAUAAUGCUUCAUUGAUGGAACAAUGCCAUAAUCCUUGCUCAUUGAAUUAAAGUGCAACAUCCCCUCAAUGACAUCGCCUAAGACACUGCAGGCCAUGAAGACCCCAAUAAACAUUUGACCAUCGGGUUUCAGUCCUGAUUCCUUGAAUUGAAUGAACAGAUCAAUUGCCUCCUCUCCAAGAUCAUUCUUAGCAAACCAUGUUAUCAUGGUGUCCCAGGAUGUCAAAUUGCGCUCUGGCAUUUUCUUAAACACUGCAUAUGCAUCAUCCAUGGAACCACAUUUUGAAUACAUCUCUAGGAUCCUGUUAUAAGUACUCACUUUGAGAGGGGAUACUGAUUUGAUAAGGCUCUCGUGAACAGCUUUUGCUUCUUGUAGUGCUUUAGCCUCCCCACAUGCCUUCAUUAACCGCAGGUACCUGGGCAAAUCCACAGGAGUGUGCUGCUUCUCCAACAAUCCCAAAACUUCUAUAGCUUCCUUUACUUUUCCAUCCUUGCAGAAAUCAUCCACCUCCUCAAGAGUGCCACUAUAUUGGCUACUCUCUGCAGCUUCUAAAGACUCUCCAUCUGGUUUGUAAUUACUUGAUUUUGGAGAACCCACCAUGCUAUUCUGAAACUCAUUAGAGUUUGUUUGAUAUUGAGCAACAUUUGGGUUCUGCUGAUAUUGAGCAACAUUUGGGUUCUGCUGAUAUUGAGCAACAUUUGGGUUCUGCUGAUAUUGACCAAUAUUUGGGUUCUGCUGAUAUUGACCAACAUUUGGGUUCUGUUGAUAUUGACCAACAUUUUCUCUAUAGUACAUAUUCUCACUUGGCUGAUACUGCUGUAGAUUUUCUCUAUGAUAUCCACUUGGGCUCUGCUGAAAUUGCCUGAUAUUUUCUCCAUAAGUCCUAUUUAGGUCUCCCAGAGUCUCCGAUAUGAUCUGUUGACAAUUCCCAUUCCGAUUCUGAUUCACUUCUGCUCGUCCCUCACUGUAAUAUGAGUUCUGUACAUUUCUGUUUUGUCCAUAAAAGUCAUUCGACUUUUGCAAUGAUUCUCCAUAAUUUUGCCCACAAUACCCAUUAAUAUUUCCACUUUGCCCAACUAGGUUCUGCUGAUAUUCAUUUAUAGUGCUUUCCCUACAAAGCUCGUUCUGAUUUGCCGGCAAGCCUCCAGAACCUUGCCUAUAAUUCCUACUAAAAUUUCCACUCUGGCUAAAUGGGUUCUGCUUAAACUCGUUUCUAGCAUAUUCCCUGUAACCUCUAGGAUUUAAGUCUUGAUGAACUUCGGAAGAGUUCAUGGAGUUUCCUCCAUAAAGCCCAUCUGGAUUUUGCUGCAAAUCCCGGAAAUUUUGUCCAUUAUACCCAUUAAAAUUCACAUUUUGCCCAAUAGGGUUCCUGUGAAAUUCAUUUCUAAGGUUUUCCUCAAAACCCCCAUUAGGGUUUAUGCUUUGUUGAGCCUCCACAGAGUUGCCUCCAUAAAACCCUUGUGGGCUUCCGGAAAAAUACCCACCCGGGCUUUGCCCAUUUGGUUUUUGCUGAAACUCUAUAUGAUUCUGAUUGUCUGCGUCAAACCCAUCAGGGUUUUGGUGAUUCUCUGGAGAAUUUUCUUUUUGAAACCCGUUAGAAAUUUGAAAAUCGGCUCUUUCAGCGGCAGUACUAAGAUUCUUCAAUAAAGUUAGGGUUUUAGAUGAAGCCGAGGAGGAGUUGGGAGAAGGACAUACCUUGGAUAAAGCAGUGAGAGAGUUGAUUGUAAGAAGCGUAGCUCUCUUUGCGGACAUUGUUUACCUGUCGUGGUGAGAUAAUUCGAGAGGAGAGAGGUUCAAGACAAUGGAGAGACAGCGGAGGAGGAAAGAAACCAGAGAAGUUAAACCCGUUGGCUUACAAACCUUAAACCCUCGCAACCAUUGGCCGCCAAUGAACAGUCUUGGGCCUAAAAUUGGCUUUUGAAUUGGGCCCACUGUUAGUUGACAUCAGGUUCCCAUAACUCUUUGCCUUUGACACCUCUUUUCUCAAAAUGCUAGAUGUGAUCCACGUGCAAGCCAUAUGAGCUAUUAGUUAAUAAAUUAAUAUUAUCUAAAUUUUAUUUUAAUUAGUUGGUAAAUUUUAUAGAAAUGUAAUUUUUAAAAAUUAUUAUAAAAACAAUAUAAAUAUUAUUAGUUAAAGAGAUUAUGAAGCUCCACCUAUUCCAUAAUCGAAUGUUUUAAUAACAUAUAUCAUAUAUUAUUAUCAUAUGACCGUAGGUUCAUGGUGAGACCUAAUGUUGACAUCUUUUUGUAUUUUGAAAGGGCUUUAAUGGUAAUAUAAUUGAUUCAAGGGUGAUAAUAUAAUCUGAUCUUUAUCCAAUGAUUAUAAGGGGCUUCUGACAACUAUUUUUAUGAUACAAGAGUAAUAUUUGAUCAAAAAUCAAUUUAGAUGCAAUUUAAUGGCUAUUAGCGGUUCCUAAAAAUUAUACGACCUCCAAUUUAGAACAAAAAUUUCCUAUAAAUACCUCAUUCUCAAUUCAAUUAAAAUCUUUUUUAAUCUUAUAGUGAUCCUUAAAACAUUAAGACAAAACAGGAGAGAGGCUGAAGUACGUAAUUCUAAGCUGCCUUAAUGUCAAAGAUAGGAAGCUAAAAGAGAGAAGUCUAAGGUAGAUCAUCUUAGGCGGACCACCAAGUGCAAUAGUUUAGUAGUUUCAAUGGGAAGCAAACCGAACAAGAGAAAGAAUUUCGAUCUUCGAUGCAUUGCUACCUUUUAUUUUUUAGGAUUAAUUAAUUAAAAGGGACGAAGAGAUCCCAAAUUUGUAAAAUUAAUCUCUCUCAUUUUUUAACUUGAAAAGUAACUCAUUUUUAAUAUAAAUAUUUUAAAUCUUUUCAUUAUUUACACGUGUGUUUUAAAAAAAUGAUUAUUUUUACAAAAAAGAAAAAAAGAUGAAGACAUUUUUAUCAAAAAUUGGUAUUUUUUAGGUUGAAAAACAAGUAAAAUGUUAGUUUUGUAAAGAAGGGAUGAUUUCGGUUUUCCCAGCUUUUUAUCUCUCAACUUUUAUAAUUUUGGGAUUUUGAUUGAAAUUGUAAAUCAAGACUCAACAAUUGCUUAAGAUAUUUUAUUAAAUUACUAACAUUAUAAAUGAUAAUUGCAACUCAAUUUAAAUUAUUUAAUUAAUAUAAUUUGGAUAUUUUUAAAUAAUUUAAAUUAUUGGAUUAAUUUUAAUAUUAGUUUCAAACCUCGAGGUGAAUGAAAUUAACCAAAAAAAAAAACUUUAAUAUGUGUGCUAUUGUUUCUUUUAUUAUUUUUAAAAUUUGUUGCAACAUUUUUAUUAGUUUUAGUCAAUUCUAAUCUAACGGAUAUUUUUUAUCUAAAUCUUUUCUUAAUAUUUCCAUGAAAACUAAUAUUUUUAUCAUUAGUUUUUAAAAUGUAUCAUACAUUCCAUAGAUCACGAAUCAAUUAUAAUUUUUAUAACAUUAAAUAUAGUAAAUUUUAUUAAAUAUCAUAUAUUUAGUUUACACGUAAACAUAUCUAGUGAUGAUACAAUAUAAAGAUGGAAAUAAUAUAUUUGAAAAAAAAAAUUGUUGAAUAAUCAGAUAAAAUAUAACAAAAUUUUAAUUUGAGAAGUGUAAAAAAAUAAUAAAUUUAAAUUAAAAGAAUUAGAAUGUGAAAAUUCUUGUGGUAAUGACUUUUGGAAUUCCUUUUAUAUGAAAAUUGUUUACUGUAAGUCUGUAAAAUAGUAUAAUUUAUUUACAAUAAGGAACACUAAUGUUAAACAUUUCAAAAUUUUGUUUUAUAGGUAACCAUAAAAAUAAAAUAAAAUAAUAAUGUAAUGUUUGUGGGUUGGCCCAACUCAACUCAAAUCGAGUUGGGUUCAAAUGGAGAAUUCACCACACCAAAUCUCAACUAGAAGACUAUCUAAACAUAAAAAUAAAAAUUUAUAUUAUAAUAAUAAUAAUAAUAAUAAUAAUAAUAAUAAUAAUAUAUUUAAAAUCGGGAACAAUUGUAUUAAAGGGGUAGUAGGAUGUAAUGCCUCUAAAAAAAUAUGAAAUAUGAGAGAUAAAAAUAUUUUUAUUAAUAGCUACAUGGCUCUUAUAGAAUUGUUCAAAUGUUUCAAUACACCUAGUUGUCUCCGAUCUUUGUUUGGUCUUUAAAUUUAGACUAUAUUGUCAAUUAUCCAACUGAGACAUCCAUGUGAGUAGAGGAAAAACUUUUUCUUAUUUGUUUCGUUUGGCUUUUGAAAAACAAAACAAUAGAUUUUUCAUAUCAUAAUCCAUGACCUUAGAUUUUUCUCCUAACUGUAUAAUCAUCCACCAUAUGAUAUCUAUUACUGUUAGAUCUCGCCUUAUUUAUCAACUUAAGAGUGUUUUCAUUUCGUCUUAUUUGUCAACUUAGAAGUUUUCUUUUCAACCAUUUUUUAGAAACACUUGUACCAACUUUUCAAUCUCUUCUUUGCUUUGUUUGGUUGUUGAAAAAAAUAAAUGAGAACGAAAUUUGAGUUUUGUGGUUGUUGUUUGCUUUGAUGUUCGAAAUCUUAAAACUUGAGCCAAAUUAUUGUUCUUUACUCAGUUUGAUAAUUUAGAAAACAAGAAGAAGAUUGAGAAUGAAAUUUAAGUUUUGUGGUUGUUGCUUUGGUGUUCAAAGUCUAAAAAUGUAAACUAAAUAAUUAUGUCAAUGUAGAUUUUUACUGAAUGAAUUAUGAUUAAAUAAUAGUUAAGGCUAAUGAACUAAAUAUAUAAGAGGUGUAUAAGACAAUUCAUUUGAAACGUAAAAAUAUAAAAAUUUAUAUUAUUAAUAAUUUUUAAAAACUUUAUUUUUUAAUUUUUUUUUAAAGAAAAGUCUAUUUAGAAACUUAAAAUAUUUUUAAUCUAUUUUAAAUAUGUUUAUAAAAUAUUUUUUAUUUGUAUUUUUUUAUAUUUAUAUAAUUAUUUUUAAAAUAAUUAUAAGAAAAUAAGUAAAAACAAUUAAAAAAUAUGGACUAGUUUAAUAAUUAUUUUUGAAAAUUGUUCUUUAAAUUUUAUAGAACAAAACUUUGUUUAAAAACCUAAAAUGUUUUUAAUAUUUUUAAAUAUAUUUUAAAAAUAAUUUUUAAAAAUAAUGUUUUACUUUUAAUUAUUCGACAUGUUUAUAUAAUUAUUUCUUAAAAUAGUAUUUACAAAACAAAUGAAAAUAAUAAAAAGAUAACUAAAAGAUCUUCUUUAAAAAUUUUCUAUUUUUUAUUUUUAGGAAUAAAAAAUAAAAAAUAGUAUUUAUUAGCCAAAUAUGUUUUCUGUGGUUUUUUUUUUUUUUUUAAAAAUUGUUAUAAAAAACAAUUCCCAAAUAUAAUAUAUUACUCGGAAACACUUUGUUUUUUGUUUUUAAAAUUAAAAACUCAUUUUUCGUUUGAAAUUCCUUUUAUUUUGUUUUGAAUCACAAAGGUUUUAAAAAAUAGUUGGCAAAAAUGGCUUUGGUUUAUGGGUCCAAUCACUAUCUUGUCCUAACAAUCUCCUUUUUGUACCAACUUUAGACAGACCACUUUAUCCCAUUACUUGGGUGCUUUUCAUUUUUGCCCAGGUUUGUUAUCUAGUCUUUGUAUUUGUUGGUUCGUGAUCACAGCAUUGAGCCAUUGAAUUUAAUUUUGCUUUUCUGUGUACUAAAGAUUCUUGGCUAAUUAGCAGACAAAACAUCAACUGCAAAUUCACUGGCCAUAAAAAACAAACAGUUGCCAGACUACCACCAAUAAUCAAAGAUCCUCUGGUUUGCGGCCAUGAUGGCUACCAGCCUCCUACAAUCACUAAAAUGCUCAUCAACUUUCUGGGGUUCUAUAGAAUGUGGCACCGGAUGAUUAGAAGACAGCUUUGUAAACAGAAGGAUGCAAGAGUCGGUAUUGCAGCUGCCAAACUGGCUAUGCCAUGAAGGAUCCUCGGGAUUACCGUCGGGGUGGUUGAGAUGCCCGCCAAAAUACCAAAAAAAUGGAUUAGAAGUGACAGAAGAGAAAUAUAAAGAAUGUUCAUACAGCAAAUUCAAUCCAUACUAUGACAUAUUUGAUACUAUCCUAGUGACAGCUUAUCGUGAGUAUCAAUCCAUGGGCGUACUAUAUAUUCAUAAGCCCAGCAGCUUGAUAUAAAUCUGCUAUUAGACCUGCAAUACACAGCGGUCUUCUUCCUCUUACUUCGUGGGAUUUUGCACUGCUCUCGAUACGAGCAUGGCUGAUACUUCUUUUCCUCCCAACUUACUGCCCGACGAGGCGAGCCCUGAAUGGAUGAACAAAGGCGACAAUGCCUGGCAACUCACUGCCGCCACUCUCGUCGGUCUCCAGACUGUUCCGGGGCUGAUCAUCCUUUAUGGAGGUGCAGUGAAGAAGAAAUGGGCUGUGAAUUCAGCUUUCAUGGCGUUCUACGCCUUCGCCUGUGUCCUUAUCUGCUGGGUGGGGUGGGGAUAUAGAAUGUCGUUUGGGACGAAGCUUGUUCCAUUUUGGGGGAGGGCUAAUGUUGCCUUGGACCAAGUUUAUCUCCUGGACCCGGCCUUUAUUGGGAAGUUCCCACAGGCGACGAUGGUGUUUUUUCAAUUCGUUUUUGCAGCGAUCACUGUGGUUUUGAUUGCGGGAGCCUUGUUGGGGCGGAUGAAUUUUUACGCGUGGAUGUUGUUUGUGCCCUUGUGGCUGACGUUUUCGUACACCUUUGUAGCAUUUAGUAUAUGGUGUCCAUCAGGUUUUCUCGCUAAGGCUGGGAUUAUAGACUACUCUGGUGGAUAUGUGAUCCAUUUGUCUUCUGGGGUUGCUGGCUUCACUGCAGCAUAUUGGGUAUGGAGGAACCCUAAUUAACCAACCAUAUAUCCUUCUGUUUUUCUUUUUACUCUAUCUGAAAUGAUUUGUGUGAUGUCCUAUACUUGCAGGUUGGUCCUCGGCUAACCAAGGACAGAGAAAGGUUCCCUCCUAACAACAUCCUUCUUAUGAUGGCUGGGGCAGGAUUGCUGUGGAUGGGUUGGACAGGGUUCAAUGGUGGGGAUCCUUAUGUAGUGAGUGUCGAUGCUUCGUUGGCCGUUUUGAACACGCAUGUGUGCACUGCCACUAGCCUGCUCACAUGGCUAAUCCUCGACAUUGCGGUCUUUGGAAAAGCUUCUAUAAUUGGUGCAGUGCAAGGCAUGAUCACUGGCUUGGUUUGCAUCACACCUGCAGCUGGUAUUCCACUGACCUAGGCCUUAAUCUUUUGUUGCAAAUAUGUUCCAUGAUAAACUUCAUUUACCUAGACCCGUGACCAUGUUUGGAUGACAUGAAAAUGAAGACAUUUUUGUAAAAACUUACUCUCAAUGUGUAGAUAUUGUCUGUUUUGGGUCCAAUAUGUCUACAUGUUAAGAGGAGUCCAUAUAUACAUAGUGUUAGAAAUUUUUUAUCUCUAUUCGAUGUGAGAUAUCACAAUCAAUCCUAUGCAGUCACAAUAUCUUUGUUAUAUUUCAUAGGAUUGUGGGAUAAAAAAGACGAACAUCCAACUCAAGCUAAACAAACUCUUAUAUGGAUUGAAGAUCGGUUCUGAUACUAUUUAUAAUAACCCGCUCCCAAUUGUGUAGAUAUUGUCCGUAUGACCUUAAAAUGUAUUAACAAGAUCAAAAAGAACUUACACAUAUAUAGCAACAUAAAACAUUAGACUAGGGAAAAAUUUUCUUAUGUUAUAUGUGUAUGCGCUCCUCCUAGUCUUGUUGGCACAUUAUAAAGUCACGUGAGCUUAUUGGACUCAAAGGCAGAGAAUAUCUACAUGGGAGAGAGAGUUAGUCAUUACAAUUUUACAUUUUAUAGGAAAUUUAGCUCCAUAUGUUGUGCUUAAAAUGUGAAAAUUAAAGCAUACUUACAAGAAGUUAUUUAUCUUUGAUUUAGGGGUUGUACAAGGAUGGGCAGCCAUAAUCAUGGGGAUUUUCUCAGGCUCCAUUCCCUGGUUCACCAUGAUGGUUGUCCACAAAAAAUCUGAGCUCCUUCAGAAAGUGGACGACACAAUGGCUGUUCUGCAUACUCACGCCAUUGCUGGAAGCCUCGGAGGAAUCCUGACCGGUCUAUUUGCUUCCCCAAAGCUUAACCGUUUGUUCUAUGGCUACGGAGUUGAUGUAGAUUCCACUUAUGUUGGCCUAUUUUAUGGUCUUCACAUGGGAGAAGUCAGUAAGGGAUUCAGGCAAAUUGGAAUUCAGCUUCUGGGGAUUGUGUUUGUGCUUGUGUUUAACGUCAUAGCCACAAGCCUAAUAUGUCUUGUGGUGCAACUCAUCGUGCCCCUGAGAAUGUCUGAUGAAGAUAUGGAGAUUGGGGAUGAAGCAGCUCAUGGGGAGGAGGCCUAUGCUAUCUGGGGUCAAGGUGACAAGCUUGAGAACUCAAGGUAUGGGAGUUCAGUCUACGGUGAUGUUGAAUUGCCUAUGCCCAAGCCCAGGGGAGCUGGCCAAGUUGAGAUGACAUGAGACAUGAGAAUGUGUUCCAGGUUUUCGGAAAUUGGCAGACUUGAUCGAUUCAAUAAGAGCCCUUAAAGUAACUUCUGUAUCUGUGAUGUUGCCAAAUCAAUUGAUUGAACUCUGUUUACUUCUUUCUGUUUGUGCUAAGAACUUGCAUGAAUCCUAUUUAUAUGUUCUUUCUUUGUAGCCUUGUUCUUGAAUGAAGUUCCAAUCUCAUUUGCCUUUUAUUUUGUCAACUAAUAAGAAUCUUGAAUAGGGAAGGUCUGAAUUGGUGUAAGUACCAAAAAGGGUGGAAGUUUUGGUAUUCCCUGCCCGCCAAAUGGAAGUUAAGCUUUGGGGCAAUCUGAAGGAAGGUAGCAAUCUUUUCAGGGUUGGGGAAGGUUGGCUACCAAGUACCAAGCAUGGGAUAAUGUCCCAACUAAGGGCCAUCAAGGCCAGAGUCUUGGUGGCUGGUGACCAAAAAUGAAGCAAGGGUCCUUGCAAAAAGGCGCCUACCUAAUGGAUAGUGUGGAGUUAGGAGUCUUAGGACUAACCCAAGAAUAGUCUUAGGACAUGCUCUUUUCUUCCUUGUCUUUAACUUCAAUGAAAAAUUAAAAUCAUUGUCACAAUUUUUAAAGGAGGUUAUUAAUAUUCUAGAAGUUUUAUUAAAUAUAUAAAAGAACUUAGGUUGGGUUUAACAAUAUUAUUAUUUGAAGUGCUAUUUAAAGAAUCACUAUAAUUUUUUUUAAGAAACAUUAUAAACGAUUUUUCAAAAAUUUUCAAGAGUAUUUUUUUAAUUUUUUCAAAUACUUAAGGUUUUUUAAAAGCGUUUUUUUUUUGUUACUUUUUUUUUUUUUAACAUAUAAAAUAUUUGAAUAAAAUUAACCAAAUAAGUAUAAAAGCUCUCAUCCAGCGAAAAAAAUAGCUUUUGACUUCUUAUAAGAAGAAAUUUUUUUAUUUUUUAUAAAAAACUAUUUCAUAUUGUAUAAUUAAUAUUAUUAUUAUUUAUUUCAAUUUCAAUUAAAGCUAAAAAUAAAAAAAAAUCAAAGAUAAUUCAAGAAUCAAUACCAUAUUAGAUUAUAAAAAUAAUCUUGAUGUUUUUUUUUCUAUCAUUUUUCCAUGUAGCAGUUGAUCCAAGCAUAAAUCAGAACAUGGAUUAUUUAAUUAAUUAAUUUAUUUUAGAUAUUUUAUUUAAAAAAAUAUGUAUUUUUAUAUCUCAUAUAAAAAUAAUUACUAAAUUGAAUCUUUUAAAAAUAAUUUAAGUUUUAUAUAUUUAUUAAUCAACGAUAAUAUCUAAAAUAAUUAAAAGUAAUACUUAUAUAAUUAAAAUAUAGUAUUUAAAUGGUCACAAAUAAUAUGAAAUAUUAAUUAUUUUUGGAUAAUAAUUUAAAAACUAUAUUUUAUAAAUUCGGUUCUAUUUUGUGAUUUGUUUUUAGGUAUGGGGUGGAAAAAAACACUUUGCCCUUUUAUUUUUCUUCCAAAUAUAGAUUAGGGUAUCAAACGUAAUAACUAAUAACACCACAUCAUCUAUUUUUGACUGCUAGGGGACGUAGACGUGGCAUCAUCAGGUGGCACCACUCCAUCAAGAAACGCAGAGGGCAAUCAAAGUCAAUUUAGUAAAAUUUAGGGGUGGUUUAGUAACUUCGUUCACCAGUGGAAGCAACCAGGCUCGCUUUAAAGUCUAGGUUUUUCUUCCAAACCCUUUUCUCUCUCAUCGUCACAUUUUCUGUGGAGGACAGCUUCACAGCGUCUCUGAGGUAUAACCCUAGGGUUUUUCUCUCUCUACAACUGUCUUUCUCUCUUGGUUUUUUUUUUUUUUUUUUUUUUUCUCAAUUUCUUGUCCCAUGUUUUCAAUGUACCACUGCUUUGAUCCAACUCCACUUUCUCGCUCAACACUUCGCAAAUUUUUUUCUGUAAUUUUUCUUUUUAUCAUAUUAUAUUAUAUAUAUAUAUUCGAAUUUGUGCAUGUAUAGUUCAUAUUCUGCAGCUGAUUAAUCUGAUAUUGCUCCGUAUGUGUAGUUGGUUUUGAUGCUGUAAUUAUCGGUUUUCAUUUACCAGGGCUUGUGAAGUUGGGCUAGGGUUUAGGGUUUGUGGUUUUAUUCAAUUUUGUAGUUUAUUACUUUCUCUUACUCGUGUCUAUUUAGAUCUAUUUGUUUUUUCUUUCAUUUUCUCUAGUUCGAAUUCGUUUGCUGAUCUUAAUCCUUGUCUUUUUUUUUUCUUUUUGAUUGUUGAUGCCCUCUUCAUUCAUGUUGGUUUUGAAAAAAAAAAGGAUGGUGAGAAUUUUGACUUAGUGUCUGCCUUUGUAUUGUUUUGGUCAUAUGGUUUGAAAGAAUGCUAGAAUAUUUUAGGAGAAGCUGAUUGAUGGCUAGGUGAUGUUGGGAUAAAAUACUUGCUUGGCUUAAUUAGGUCUUGGUGUCUAAAGAAUUUAUGCGGAAUGCUGCUCUUGUGUAUUUUGAGGGAUUAUAGGGCGGUAUACUGCCUUGAGACCUGGCUCAAGUGGUAAAGGUAGGGGAGAGUUUGUAGAAGGUUCCAGGUUUAAGUCCCAACGGGGAUAAAAGAUUUUACCUAUCAGAAAAAAAAAAAGAGGGCAGUGUACAGGAAGGUGAUCUGUGGUGGGUUUAGGUUGGGUCCAAACCCAUCAAAUUUGUUUUUCUUUAAUUUUAAUUUUGCUUCUUUUAUGUUUUUGUUGAACUCUAGCCUUCCUUUUUUACAUUUGUGGUUCUUUUCAACAAAAUUAUUCUUUUGUUUUAAAAAUAUAAGCAUUUUUCCUGCAUAGUAGACUCCAUAUCAAAUCCAAUUCUAUGCAAUCAAAUAUAGUGUAAGGCAUUGAUAAAAAAUGGAGGGAAAGAGUCCAAGACUUCGUAACAAAAUGGAGUACUAAGACAUUGCACAUCUUACAGGUUUGCUUGACUCAGUUUACAAUGUUCAUGUGAUGGAGGAAUGUUGUUCGUAAAUUAUUCAAAUUCAGGCAUAUGUCUUCACUAUCUUAAGACAUUCUGAACCAUGUCACAGUAUCUAUGACAUGGGUAUUUUUGUUCCACACAUCUUGAACUUUCUGUGCGAUGUAGUUAUUCUAUAUGCCUAUAACAGAAUUUUUUUGUAUGACAUGGGGUUCAAUUGCCUGACACUUUUGGAAACCUUGCUGAAAGUUGGUUGACAUUUUUUGUUGUUAUAGUUGAGCAAUGUUGCAUUUUUAUCUGCUACCAAAUUAAAUUGGUGGUGCUUAUUGACUCCUGUUUAUUGUGUGGUCAGGUCAUUAGUAGUGGUGUCUUGACUCUGUGAUAUUGGAAAACUAAGAAAAUGACCAAGAAGAAGAAUCCAUUGGUCUAUCUAGAUGUGUCUAUUGAUGGAGAUCCAAUUGAAAGAAUGGUUUUUGAGGUAUUGUUUUUUUUCCAAUCUGAUAAGUGGAACAUCAAUUGAGUUUCUUCUGUCUAGUUGAUUGUAUAUGUUUGUUAUUUGCAUUUAUAGUCUGUCUAUUAUUUUUUAAUCAUUUGCUAUCUUCCCCCAAAGUGAACCAUGAACAUUUAAUUGAUUUCCUGUUUUUCUUUUGGGGUGGGGGUUUGCAGCUGUUCUCUGAUGUUGCUCCCAAGACUGCAGAAAAUUUUCGUGCACUCUGUACAGGUAACAUAUAUGUGAACAAGUAUUUCUAAGAACUGCACCUUUCUUUCUCUAUUUGUAGCAGUUAUUUUUGCUAUUAUGAUUAUGAUACAUAUUAUAAUGUUGUGGUAUUUAAUUUGUGAUUUGUUCAUGAUUCUAGAUGCAUUCUCUGUUUUCCUUUUCUUGCAGAUCUCCUUGUAUGGAUUACUCCGUCUAAAUUUAUAAGUUCAUUUGGGAUUUCUUUCUCCUUUCUUUUGUAGGGCCUAAUUUUCAAGUGUGAUAUUCAUUAAAAAGAAUAGUUGUUUGAUUUCUUUGACUUGUAUUUUUCAGGUGAAAAAGGAAUCGGUCCCAAAACUGGAAAGCCACUGCACUAUAAAGGGUCCUUCUUCCAUCGCAUUAUCAAAGGAUCAAUGGUUCAGGUAUGUUUUUCAGACUCAUUUUUAUGCCAAGAUUUUGGUUCAUAGAUUGAUUCUGGUUCAUAGAUUGAUUCUGGUUCAUUUGCAUGUGUCCUUCAUUUUCUGGUUGAGCAUGGCUUAGAAGUGGUCUUUGUCUUUUAGUCAGUUACCCUUUUUUAUGCUGUAGGAUACAGGGCUGAUGGUCACGACUGCUUUUCUUGUGAUGUAGUUUUAAGGUUGUACUUACUGAGUUGUCCAUCCUCAAAAUUUUUACUAAAAUUCACCAUGCCUCCAACCCAGUUUCAUACGCCUUUUCAAUUUGUUGCUUACCUAUGGAUUAAUGGUUGAUUUUUAUUCUGCAGGGUGGCGAUUUCCUUAGACGAGAUGGUAUGCUUUCUUCACUUGUCUCAUCUGAACUCGAGAAUAGCAUCUUUCUUUGUGUUUGUGUAGCAAAAUUAACGUAUUGGAAGGGAAACUUGUUAAUGUCUGGUAAUGUGAUCUGAAUUCGAAAUUGGUAGGGCACUGGCAUUUUUUGGUUAUCAGUCUCAUUACUGUAAUCUGUUUGGAGAAGAAAUCAGGUUGUGAGAUGGUAUGAAAUGGCUUCAUGGAUUUUUUGGGCAUUGCCAAUUGCUUAAGUAUGGUGAUGAUGGACAAUGCAAGGAAACCACUUUGAAUUGGAACACAUGUAGUCUCUCAAUAUUUUCAAGGCUGGUGACUGACAGAAAUGGUGAAGCUGAUAUAAAAGCUCUUUUUUGUUUUCCAGUGUCUGUUAUAACCAUUGCACCUGUUCUUAUUUCUGGAAUGGGAAAGCAGUUGUUUGCUGAACCACCUUGACCAGAUAUGAUAAAUAAUUUAACUCUCUUUACUAGAAUUUGGAGUGAACAAACUAAAUAUCCAAUUAACAUUAUCCAAUACCACUUCAAUAAUCAACUAUAGUUGAAUUGAUCCAUGCCAAAUUCUAAUCUAUGUACCAUUUUUGGAGAAAGAGCAACCUCAAUAACAGUGAUUUCUUGUAUAGAUCUAUGACACCCAUUUCCCCUCCUGUUAAAGUUGCUUAUUUCAGGCUCAUGUUAGUUGUGAUUUUCCUGCCACUGAACACAUGCCUUCGGCAGUCUGUCUCUUUUGUUUGUGAUUGUGCAUUUGUAAAGAGAGGAAUUUCAGGAUUUCAAGGGAUUUAGAAGUUCCAUUCCCCAAACUUAAAAGAGCUCACCUACUCUGGCUGUAGUCUACACCAGUGGCUGCCCUUUAUGGCAGGAGGCAUCCUUUUCUAGAUUUUCAUGUGUAGUUUGGGUUGUUCUUGUGCUUAAGGAACGUUGUUCUGUUUAUGUUUUUUUUUGGGAGAAUUCAAAGCAGGCUCUUUGUGUGCCCUGCACUCCCUCUGGUGCCUUUUCUUAAUUUAUUCCUUUAUCUAUAAAAAAAAUGGCUAGUAGUUGAUAAAUUUGUUUUUUUAAUAAGGUUCCAUAAAAAUUAGUUGGACUAGGGUUGGUAAAGCUACUUUUUUUUUCUCCUGGGAAAUUUAACCCCAAUAUAACUGUUUUUCAGAAUGUACUUCACUAUUGGUGCCACGGCUAUGAUUAGUCUAUUUUUGCCACUAAAUAUAGGGAAACAGCCAUAACUGUGGAUAAUGAACUAGCUAGGCUGUUCUUCACUAUGUGCUCCUCAAAAUACCUCCCCCCCUUCCCCCACCCAAAAAAAAAAAAAAAAAGAAAAGAAAGAAAAAACCAAAUGAACAUCUUUUGAGUGUAGUAGUAGUUUGAAUUGUUUUGUCCUAGAGGACUUGUGCUUUUGAGGCUUGCCUAAGCUUAGUGAAUUAGCCUUGAGGCUGUCACCUCAGUAAAGGAUAAGCCUCAUCCUAUUGAGGCUUACAACGUUGAGGUUGAAGCCUCAAAUAUCCAAUAGGUUUAAUGAGUUUGGUGUCUUUGUGGGCUUUUGGUAAAUAUUUGUGAGAAGUUUAAGCAAUAAUAUUCAAUUGGUUUUAAUGGGCUUUGUGCUUUUUAUAAGUUUCAUCAUGAGUUGAGAGUAGGUUGAACAUUUUACAAAAUAAGGGUUUAGUUGGCUUCUAUUUGACCAUUUCAAAGGAGGGGGAAAAAGAGAUUGAGAAGAAGAAAUAGAGGAUUUAUUGGUUAAUAUUUAUUUUGUUAGUGAUAAAUAAAGAAGAAUGACCAUUGGAAUUUAUGGAGGAAGAAGAAGAAUGGGCAGAUUUUUAUAUAUCUACGUAUAUUCUUAUUUGCCUAUCAAAAAUUAAAAAAAAAAAAAAAAGAAGAAUAGGCAAAUAUUAACAUUGGUGGGAAGGAUGAUAGGGCAAUUAGAUAUGAGUAUCUACUUGGAGGAUCCUAUUAGUGAUAGUAAUUAGAGUAUUGAAGACUAUUUGAUGAAACAAUAAGAAAAAGUUAGAUUUUAGAAGAGGGAAAUGGGAACUAAAUUAGAACUAUUGAUGACAAAGAGCUAAUUUUCUUAUUAUGAAUUUAUAGUUUUCUUAUUAUUUAAUUUUCAUGUGAUUUUAUUGGUGUUUUUUUAGGUUGAGGCUUACAUCUCUCCUCAUUUGGGGUAAUAUGCUUCAAAACUGCAUUUAGCCUUUUAAAACAUAGGUCUCCAUUAUUCUGAAGUGAAUCCUGCUUGACCAAAUCUAAGGUCUUCCUUACUCCUUUAAGUUUUAAAUAUUUGGUUAACAAUCAAGCAGUGAAUAUUAUUCGGGUAAUGAUUAUUUUUACCCUUCACUUGGAAAGUUAUCAUUUGGACAUAUAAGUGCCAUGGAAGUUCCUUGUUGGCUUUUCAUGUGCUUGGAAAUUUAUUUCUUAAAUAAUGUAUUUUAAUGAAAAAGGAUUGCUUUUUUUGUUUGGCAGGAAGUGGUGGUGAAAGCAUAUAUGGUGGAAAAUUUCCAGGUAUCCAUCAUCUGUCAUGUUUAUUUUUCUUCUGGCUCCAAUUAAUCUUGAUGCUACUUGUAGGUAGUGUGUAGAGUUUCUUUGGCAAUGCAUCUUUUUUCUUUGACUUGAUUUAUUUUUCUGCUAGUUCUAUAAUUAAGCCUUCCUGCUACAAGUAGGCAGUGAGUAUAGUUUUUAUGGCAUUCAUCUGUUUCCCUUUUUAGUGCACUUUUUCGCUUAUACGUUUUUAGUCUUUUUGGUGUGCUUCUUUCUAUCUGUUGGAUGGGAGGGGUUUGCGCGUGUUGUGGCUUUAGGCUUCUUCCAGUUGUGUGGUUUGGAAAGUUGGUGAGCUUUGAUUAUAAUAUUUUUCAUUAUAUUCACAACUUUUGUUAUAUCUUUAUUUUAUCAGACAAUUGCAAUUAUAUUUCAUUCUGCAUUUUGCAUGAAAGUAGGAUUGCAUUUUUGCAUGAGGCUUUUGUCCCAAUUAAAUUUGACAAUGCUAUUUCUCUUAAUGUGAUUUGUAGGGUUUAUAGAUAACUGUUAUAUCGAAGUCCUUGCUUGUUUAUUUGAUUUUUAGAUUGGGACCAUACCAAGGAUUUGACAUGUGCUAAAAGUAAGCAUGUUUUAAGUUUGAAAGUAAUAUUGAAUCUUUUGUCUUUUUUUCUUUUUUUGUAAUCUCUGGGGUAGUUAUCGCUUAAUAGCUCUAUUAUGCCCUAGAUUGUGUUAUGCCGUAGUAUUUACUUAUACAGAGGUGGUAACUCGGGAAGAUUAGACAAUCCUUAUCUAUGAAAGAGGAGAACAAAAAGGGAUUUUGCAGUCCUUGAUAUGUUUCUGAGGUUAAAGAAAUUUGCUGAUGGUGGUGUGACUAGGAAGUUGUCUGGUUCCUGGAUCCUAACUGCAAUGCUGAAAACUGAAAUAGAAGUUGAAAAAUAAUAGCUCAUUCGCUGAUCUUAUGUUUAAAAUGUUAUAAUUCCAAAUGAUUAUGUUACCAUUGAUGUAAAGUUUUGUAUCUUAACAUAUGCUUAGGUUUUUUUGUUUAACUGAAAAGAAAUAGGUAAAUGCUAAGGAUGGGCCAUAUUUAGGGAUGGCUUGUUACCAAAUUAUGAUGAUUUUCAUAAAAUACUAAGUGCAAGUCAUGGCAUUGUUUCAGAUGAGUCACCCAGGCUAAAGCAUGAUGGACCUGGCCUUCUGUCUAUGUCAGUUGCCGAUCGGGACACUGUUGGUUCUCAAUUUAUUGUCACCUUCAGUGCUAAUCAUCAUCUUGAUAGGUUUGUUUAUUUACUAGAUUGUUACAGCAUUUGGUUUUCUUCAAUGGAUGUUUGUCAGAUUGUUCUCAAUUUGGUUUUAUUUGUUUGGUACAUGAAGAAAUUCUCAUCUGCAUGAAACUGUUCAUUUUUGAAAUCAUUUAAACAGGAAGUAUGUAGUAUUUGGAAAGCUUGUACAAGGACAUGAAGUUUUGAAGAGGAUAGAAAGUGUUGGUGAUGAGGAAGGGAUACCGACUGCAACAGUGAAAAUCAUUUACUGUGGUGAAAUUCCCGAGGGUAAGAUACACAGAUCUGCUUACUGGAGAGUGGUGUUUACUGUAUUGACAUGGAAUAAUGUACAAGAUUUUGCAAUUGGAGGCCUUGUCUGGUUCCUUAGAUGUGGUUUCCUUUUUCUAAUUUUUGAAUGCUUAUUUUGAAUCCUGCCUUGUGGUUUUUUUUGCUUUCAUCACGGGCUAAUGAACUGUUCAAUGUCCUAUUGUAGUUUGUGUUUGAUAGUCUUUAUCGUUGUUAUUAUUAUUCUUAUGGUAUAUAAGAGAACAUCAUAGAUGAUGAAGAUUUGUACUUGGUGCACCUUUUCAAGUGCUUUUAAUAUAAUUGCUCAUUUUAUAUAUAUAUAUAUAAGCGGAUGAACAUUUAGUGAUACCCCUUUGCCCCCUCUAAAAUCCCUUUUUCCCAACCUUACACUGAUGUCACUUGGGGAAACCCUAUGGAUGCUAAUUGGCCUACACCCCUUGUCACUUUAUUAUGCAGAUACUCUCUCUCUCUUGCUUUCUCUCUCUCUCUCUCUCUCUCUCACACACACACACACACACACACAUGCACAUGCACGCACACACACACUGCUUAGAUGGCUAGGACUUGGGUGGGGGUGGGAUGAGGGGGGUUCGAGGUUUAACUCCUUGGAAAAAAGUUUACAUUUUAAAGAAGAACCUUAGAUUAUUUUCUGAGGGCUUGUCUGACAAUGGACAGUUGAUCACUCCUAUUUGAAGCAACAGAACACUUUCUCUUUUGCUUGUUGAUUUAAUUUGUGUGCGCACAUGUGAAAGGAAAUGAAAUAACUUGAAACAUAAUCCUUUGAGUGGAACAUAGGAUAAAUACCCAUGUACUUUUACAGUAUGGAAGUAAAAUAUUACAUCAAACAGAUUUUAUGUACCUUGGUUGGCUGUUUUCUUGGUGCUUGUUUAUAAAAUAAUUUUAUUGCAUAUGGAAAAAAUAUUUCACCAAACAGAUUGAACAUGAUACCAAGGAUUUAACAAGAGUUAAGGCCCCAAAAUAAAUAUGAAUGGUGAAGGAUUCAUGUAACCAAUAAAGCUUCAUUGUGAUUGUAUGAAUGCCAGAUUUUGUCUGGAUUUUGUUAAUUUUUAAGCCAUCUUAAAUUGCAAUUUAAGGAUUUUUGCAGCCAAAUCAUGCAGAUAAAACCUUGGUCUGGUGAUGGGUGAACUUGGUCAUUAUUCAUGAAUUAUAUAUUUGUAGGGUCUAGUGGACCUAAAUUUCUUGAGUGAUGUAGAACAAUACAUAGAUUGUUGUCUAUAAUUGGAUAAUGUGGGCUAGUUUCAUUGUUUACUUGAGUAGAUCGUGGAGAUUCAUUCUCACCAUUCUCUACUUAAGUCACCACACUUAAAAACACUUCUGGUUGUUUUGAUGGGUUUUAUUGUGAUUUUAGAGACAUUCAAUCAGUUUUGACUCCUGUCAUUGAGCAAGUUUUUAAAAUGUUUCUAAGUCAAUUCCUGGGGUCCUCGUCUUUUAGUUUUUGAGCAUGCCUAUAUUAGUCUUGCUUUAGAGUUUCUUUGGCUCUGCAUACCUGGCCUUGUACUUAUUUUUUGCGUUUUCUUCAAUGAAUUCAUAAUCUUUUUUGUAGUUUGAGGUUUCACCUUAUAUAUUUUUGUUGUUGCUGCUGCUAUUGUAAUUAUCUAUUGCAGUGUUUUUUGUCUGUUCAUACCCGACCUUAAACUCUUUUAUGGGUUAAUCAAUAAAUUGUUAAUCUUUUUGCAGUUUGAGGUUUCAUUUUAUAUCUCAUUGUUGCUGCUGUUGUUGUUGUUGUUAUUGCCAUUAUAAUUUGCAGAGUGAUUAAGAGGGUGUUGCUUGUUGUGUUCUUUCUUGUUCUUUGUGCUUUCAGGUGCUAUUUGUAUACGUCAUGUAUUCUUUGGUGCAUCCUUUUGGCGCAUUUUAAUUUAUAUGCAUUCUUAUAAAAAAAAACCAUUAUAAUUUGCAGUUAUUUUCUAUAUUUAUACUUGCUUGUAUCUAUUCUGUAGCAUUAUUUUCUUCUUUUUUGAUUGCUUGAUUUAAGUUUUAUCUUGUCUAGAGAAAAGGAAAUCAAUCAAAUCCAAAAUUGGAAAAGAUGCUUCUUCUGAUGCUAAUAGUCAUGAAGUGCGGCGGAGGGAGAAGCACAAGAGAUCUUCAAAAGAAAGAAGGAAAAAAAGAAGAAGAUACGAUACAUCAGAAUCAGAGUCUCUUUCUGAUACAGACACUGAAUCAUCUGAAUCUGAUAGUGAUUCUGACUCAGAAUCAUCUUCAUACAUAAGUUCUUCAAGUGAAGACAGACGGAAAAAAAGGAAGAGAUCUAAGAGAGACAAAUAUAGACGUGGAAAAAGAAGGGAUAAACGACGUGACAAAAAGCGCAAGAGACGUGAUAAGAAAUCAAAGCGCAGAUCAAAAAGGUAUGAUAGGCAUUGGCGAUAUAUAUUUAAUAUACCAAAGCGUUGUUUAUUUCCUGAUUCCUCUCAUCAAACUUUUGGGGUGUGACAUCUGCAUUAGAACAAUAGCCUGAUAUUCUUUCUUUUGAAAUCUCUUUUAAGGUCAUCGGAUAGUCUUACUGAUGAGGAUAGCAAUGGUAAAAGUGGCAGUAGCUCUGCUGAUGAUGGCACUGAUGUUCGAGGGCCAGAUUGCAACCCUAAAAAACCUCCUCAGCUAAUAGGUAUUGCUUUGAACUUUUUUUUUAAUAAUGAACAGAAACUCUUUCUUGCCUUUUCUUUAUUUCUUGAUUGUUCAUAUAUUUAUUUAUUUUUCCUAUGGAUUUAGUCUAGUUUUCUUUUUAUAUGCACCAUAUGUUUGUCUUCCUUUUUUUAAUAGCCGUUUAUGUGUCUUCUUAAUGUUAUUUACUUUCACUUGUCUUUCUUGCAAAUUAUAGCUCCUUAGGCAUAAUGAAUGCUCAAUAAAAGUUCUCUCAUCCACCAGAUCUUGCAUGUAUUUUUCAAAUGUUCAAUAAAAGUUCUGUUGCCCACCAGAUCUUGCACAUAUUUGUCAAUGUAUAAAGGAUUAACAUUAUUUAUAUGUUUGAAAAAUUACGUGAGGUAGAUUAUUGACAUUUCAUUUGUUUUUAUGAUUUAUAUCUUGAUUUUGGCAUGAACUGAAUUUUCUUUUUUCAUAUAUAUAUAUAUAUAUAUAUAUAAAUUCUUCAACAAUAUUGUUGACUAUAUGAUCAACACCCUGAUACAGUGAGGAUUGUAUUUAUUUGAUUUUGUUUUGAGUUUUUUGUGAUAGGUGUUCUUAAUUUAUUGGCCUUUUUUUUUUUACUUGUAUGUGAUUGUUUUUGUACAAAUUUCUCCAGCAGGAAAUGGAUCUCCUGUAGUUGAGGACAGAGAAGCUGUUUCCACUCGUCAUAAAAAGGGGGAGGUGGCUGAUGUGCUUGAAAAGGAAGAGGGUGAAUCACCCAAGGAAAACGGAGAUAGGCGGAGCAAUGGCAUUGAAGAAGUCAAAUCUGAUAGAAGUGCAGAAAGACAACCUGAUGUUGUAGAUGAUCACCCAGGAAAAUCUAGGUCUACUUUCCAUCCUCCUCACACCUCAGUUAUUCUUUAUGCUAACCGAUUCUUCCAGAUCCGGUAUUUUAUUAAAAGUUGAUGAGCAGGAGCCGAAGCAUGAGUCCCAAAAGGACCAUGAGUAAGAGUAUGAGUAUUAGUCCAAGGAGGAGUCUGAGCAAGAGCCCAAGUGUCAGCAGGAGUCAAAGUGUUAGCAGAAGCACUCCCCGCCCACCAAGAAGCAGAACUGUGAGCAGGAGUCCAAGUGUUAGUAGAAGGGCCCCACUGAGAAGCAGAACCGUGAGCAGAAGCCCAGCUCCAGCUAGAAGUGAUAGCAGCGGGAGCCCAGCUAGAAGCCUCAGCAGAAGUCCAGUGAAGGUCAGUAGAGGAAGAAGCUUCAGUAGGAGCCCAGUGAGGACCCGAACUCGGAGGAGCAUUAGCAGGAGCCCGGUUAGGUCACUGUCUCGAAGAAGUCCAAGCAGGAGCCCACCAAGAACCUCAUCAAGAAAAUCAGUUAGCAGAAGCCCUGUGAGGAUUUCAAAAAGUGGUGUCAGCAGAAGCCCUAUUAAAUCCUCCCGGAGAAGCAUUAGUAGAAGCUCUGGCAGAGCUCCUUCAAGGAAAAGUGUGAGUCGAAGCCCAAAUAGGGUGCCUAGCAGGAAUAAUCGUCGCAGCUAUUCUAGAAGUCCUGCAAGCUCGGGGCGUAGGGCAAGGUCACCUGCUUCUGAUCGUUCAAGGACUGUGUCAAGAAGUCCUUCCCCGGAUGGGUCCCCCAAGCGCAUCAGAAGGGGACGGGGUUUUAGUGAGCGAUACUCUUAUGCACGGCGAUACAGGACUCCAUCUCCAGAUCGUUCUCCAGUACGGUCAUAUCGUUAUAAUAACAGAAUUGACCGUGACAGGUAAUGAAGCAACCUACUUACGUGAGUUUUUUCAGUCAUUUGAGUGAAUGAUUUUAUACUGUAGUAGUUUAUGGUGCAUAUUUGUUCUUUGUUGCUAGAUAUCCAUACAGGAGGUAUGAUCGAUCACCCAGGCGUUAUAGAAGCCCACCAAGAGGAAGAACCCCUCCUAGGUACGUGAUUUUCCUAAACACCUCCAAUUCCCUUUGUUCUUCUGGCUUUUUGGUUGAUACUCACCCAAGUUUCGUGAAAUAUGGUAUUUGAUGCAAAACACGUGUGCCCGCACACACACACUCUGGCACUUAAUUAAAAUGUGGUCUGUUAAUUUCCAAUUUCCACUUGUGUACGAUUGAUUGUACAGAUGUAAAAGUGUAUUUCUUGUUCAUGGCAUCAUGGUGAUUUAUUCUUCAUGCCACAUUUGCAGAUACAGAGGCAGGAGAAGUAGGACGCGGAGUCCAAGUGCUUCACGUAGCCCAAUCCGCUACCGUAAACGACGUUAUAGUCGUAGUCCUGUUCGCAGUCGAUCCCCAGUUGAGCCAUCUAGAUACCGUGUCUCCCCUCGCCCUGAGAAACGGAGGUCACCAUCUAGGAGCAGAAGCCCAUCAGCAUCUAGAUCCUCACUGGAUUCCCAGUCGCCCAAGAAAGCAAGCAAAGAUGAGUCAAGAUCAUCUUCUGAAAGUCCAUCUGGGAAGAAGGGCUUGGUUUCAUAUGGUGAUGGGUCUCCAGAUUCUGGGCAAAGGUGAGAGAAUGUAGUAGUGGCUGUUGUAGAGAUGGCUGUCUUUGUUGUCUAGGAUGAGGGAGCACUCGCGGUUUUUGCCAACUGGGACUGUGGUCACUGUUUCUUUUUGUUGUUAUUAGAGCGUAUGGGCGGUUACCGGAUUUUCAGACUUUGGAUUUAGAUUUAGCUAUUGGCUUGUUUUAUAAUCAAAUAUGUUGAAUAAUGGUAUUACUGGGAUUAUAUUAGAUCAGCAUCUGGGAAUAUGGAUAUUCUCCAUUUUGUAUGGUUCUUUCCUUAUGGUGGUCUAAACAAAUUUGAGGUGUUGAGAUCUCCCAGGUACUGUUUCUGAAUUUGGUUGUUUAUGGUUAACCUGGAUUAACUUCUUAAACUUAAAUAGCUAAAUCAAUUGCUAUUGUAUUUACAAGAAUAAUCAAUGAAAGGUGGUUUAAGAUUUACAUGUAAAAAGCGGUAAGUGGCUUUAAUGCGACCUCAUUUCCCUGUUGGGCUAUGAAUGCUGCUGUUUAUUUUGUGCCCAAAACUUUCGAUUAACAAACAUUCUUUGUCAAAAUACAAAAUCUAUAUGAAAUGUGGGACAAAAUGCCUUUAUCAGGGUGCCACGUCGGAUGACGUUAUCUCUUAUCCAAUCAGCCCAUGUUCUCCAUACUUUCCCUUCUUUAUCCUCAAUGAUUCCACUAUCUCCUUCUUCGACCAUUUUGAAUUUCAACCCUUCAUCAUCUUGCAAGCUUGACUAGAACCAUUGCAGAUCAUCUUAAACCACUUAUUGCUCUCCGAUCUUUGGCUGGUCUUUGAAUUUGAACUUUGGUCUUUCGUUCUAGGCUGCAGAUAAUCACAUUUGGAUGCAGACUUUGAUCUUCUCGAAUUGCACCAGGUAGAGGAGCAAUUCCAAGGGUGCCACUACAAUGAGAGAGGGUUAAUAAGGCUUGUGAUUUCGUUGCCUAAAGGUUUUCUAGUCCUAAUGCUUGAUUGUCAGUGAAGGCAUUCAGUGAUGAAAAAGGGAAAGAAGUUGUUGGUGGUGUUGUUUCUUGAGUUUAAAAAAUAAGCAAAUUAGAUGUAGCCCAAAAUCAUCAAACAAGAAACAAAAUAGAUAGGAAAAAGGUUGCUUAUCAGAAUAAGUUCAACGAGGCAUGACAAACAUUGUCCUCAUCUUCAAAGAUAUCAUCCUCGGGCAAAAGUAAUUAAUGUUUUACCUUCAAGAUUCAACAGUCAAAUAAAUAUAUUCCUAGGUGCAUUAGGUAGGUGAGAUGUUGUGUAGCUUAGUUUAAAAUAUAUUCCUCACGGGUGGAUCAGUGGGGCUGCAGUAGACUGGGAGCAGCACUUGUGGGUGUAGCCUCGGGUGGAUAGUUACAGCAAUGUGGGUGUUGCAAAGGUGGAUGCUGCAGUCGGGUUACUGCAAAUGGAAGAUGCAGCGGGUGAUUAUUGCAGUAGAACUGUAGAAGCAAGCUGCAGUAUAGAAGAGCAGCACAAAGGAGCUUCCAGUUGCAGCACACAGGUUUUUCAAGUAAUUACCGCGUCUUUGAUAGCAGCAAGGGGCACAUAGAGAGAAAGUGGGAGACGAAAAAACUAGAGAGAGAUAGCUGUAGAGAAUGAGAUGCAGUAGAACUUUGAAGGGGCUGCCUUUAUAUAGGCAGAGGACUGGAUGGACCUCUCCAAAAAUUUCUUAAUUGCCACAGUUUUUUUUAUGGGCGAAGACAUGGUCAUAGGAAGAGUACAAAUAAUUUUUAUUUUUAUUUUUGGGAAGAGUUAUAUUGGGAAUUAUUUUUAUUUUAUUUUAUUUUAUUUUCUUAGUCUUAUAUUUUUGGGAAAAAUCCUAUUGAGAAUUAUUUUUAUUUUUGGGAUUGUGCUAGUAGAAUCCCAUUUCACUUAUAAGUAGAUUCCCCUUCCACUCUCUAAAUAUGAAUACCAAUUUUUCAAAAACUCUUUUCAUACAUCUAUUUGGAGGAAUUUUUUCAAAACCCGUACACAUCUCGCUUUCAAAGUGCACCUAUUGGCUGUUGAAUUCUGGAGGUAGACUACUGGUACUCUAGUGCAUUGAGUUCGUUUUUGAGGAGGGUGGAUCUAUUUCAAAGACAAUAUUUGUCACACCUCAGCCAAUAAGUCUUUCUUCUUAUUAAUUAUAUUAUUUGUUUGUGACUUUUGAGCUAGUUAUUUGUUUCCAUACCCUUAAAUCCAACCAUGGUUAGAUGGGCUAAGUCAAAGUAGUUGGCACUACCUAAACUCAUGCACUUCUCCUAUAGGUGGUGGUUUCCAUGGUGUUGAUGUUUAUGUUGAUAAUUGUGUUGCUUGUGAUUUAAGUCUUGAUUUUCGAAACUAAAUCCAUGCUUGUGAUUUGUGGUUGUUGUUGCUUUGAUGUUCCAAGUUCUAAAACUUGAGCCAAAUGGUUUUACUAGUGCAUAUUUUUGUUAUAUGGAUUAUGACUGAAUCAUGGUUAAGACACUUGUGCACACUUCUAAGCAUACAAAAGUGGAUUUUGAACCAUUGCAUGAUAAAAUUUAAUUGAGCGUACAAGGCUAAUGAACCAACCAUAAAAGGGGUGUACAUGCAGAUUUUAUUGUAUGGAUUAUGACUAAAAAUAUGUAUAUGGAAUUUGAACAACUGUGGAAGGUAUUUGCACUAACUAUAUAAAGCUAAUGAACUAAUUGUACAAGGCAAAAGAAUUGACUGUAUAAAGGGUAUAUAGGAUAACCUAUUUUAAAGGGAUUAUAAUAUUUGCAAUCAAUUUCCUUACUUCUUUCCCUCACUUAAGGACCACUCGCUUUCACGAAAUACAUUGGAGUUUCGAAUCCCUACCUCCUAACUCGGUUUCUUAUUUGGAAGCAAUCGGUUUAUGAAUUCCUUCUACCAAAUUAUCGGAAACAUGGUUAAUAUACUUGUGCACAUGAACUCAUAAUUUAAAUGUUUUUUAUAUUCUAAGGCUAUGUUUGGUUUCUAGAAAAUUUGAAGGAAAAUGUAAAGGAAAGAAAAUAUAAAAGAAAAAGGGAGAAUUAUCUUUUGGGGGUAGAUGGACCCCCAAAUUAACAAAAGGUUCAUAUAACUCUUCAAAUUGAGUUGAAUGAUAUAAAAUAGUAAUAGACAAAUAUACCCUUUAAGAACACAUAUAAAAUAUUUUAUAAAAUUAAGUUAAAUAAUUUUUUUUCAAUAAUUUUUUUUUUCAAAAAUACUAAAUUAAAUAAAAGUAGUUUUCAAAAAUAUUAAAUUAAGUAUUUUUUUAUUCAAAAAUAUUAAAUUAAAUUAAAGUAUUUAAAAAAAUUAAAUUAAAUAUUUUUUAAAUAUUAAAUUAAAUAAAUUUAUUUUUAAAAAAUAUUAAAUUAAAUAAAAGUAUUUUAAAAAAUAUUAAAUUAAAUAAAAGUAUUUUUUUAAAAUAUUAAAUUAAAUAAAAGUAUUUUUCAAAAAUAUUAAUUUUUUUUUCUCAAAAUCAACAAAGGGCAUUUUUGGAAAUACUGAAGGAUGAUAUCCUUCAACUCAAUUUCCAUACUUUCAUUGGGUCUUGGGCUCAAUUUGAAGAGUUAUAUGGAACUUUUGUUAAUUUGGGGGUCCAUCUACCCCCAAAACAUAAUUCUCCCAAAGAAAAAUAAAAAAAAAGAAAAAAUGAAGGAAAAUAAAAAAAUAGAUUAAAAGUUGAUAAAUUAUUUUUUUUGUUACUUCAAACUCAUUUUAUUUAUUUUAACUCAUCAAUAUAAAUAUUGAAUAAUUUAAAAAUACAUAAUUUUUAAUUAGUUUUAAUUAUAUUUGAUUUUCUUUGAUAUUUUUCAUAAAACAACCAAACAUAAAAAAAUAAUUUUUCUUUAUAUAUAUUUUUUUUCUUAGUAUUUUUCGAGAAUCAAACAUAACCUAAAGGAAUAUAAUACAUAGUUGGAGCUUGGUGUGUGAAUUUCCAUCAAAUGGUUAAAAUUUAGUGGCUAUCUCAACAUUUUAAAUUUGGUAAUAGAGGGUGGUUUCACAUGGGGUUUUUAAAAAGAAACGAAGGAAGAGUAUUUUAAGGAUUUUUGGAUGUUGACAUUUGAAAAUAGUCUUUUCACAUCUUCUUCUUCCCUUUUAGUCUAUUUACACAAAAUCUAUCAUUUUUAUGAUCAUUAUCAAAUUCAUCUACCCUUCAAGAUAAUUAUCUCAAACUAAUAAAGUAUUAGAUCAAAUUUCAACUUUAGUUGUUGAAUGUGAAUGGUAAAAUCUAGGUCUUUGAAUAAUAGUAUAAACGAAAAAAAAUGAAAUUAAGGUACAUAAUAUAAAUAAAUGAGAUAAGAUACAAAUAAUGAGAUAUGAAGAUAUAUAUAUAUAUAUAUAUAUAUAUAUAUAUAUAUAUAUAUAUAUAUAUAUAUAUAUAUAUAUAUAUAUAUGAUACGAUGAUGGUGCAUUUUCAAUAUUUAUAAAAAGUACACUUUAGUACGUAAGUGAACUUUUAUAAGAAACAUGCUAAUUUACCAUAAAUUUUCUAAUCAAUAUUAUUAGAUAAAAUUCCAAGAUAUUGCAAUUUUUAAUAAAAUCAUUUUUAUAUUUUUCCAAAAUUUUUAAUCUAAUAUUAUAAAAGAAAAAUGAAUUCAUCUUUUGAAAAGACGAAUUCAGUAUAGAAAGUGAACUCGUUUUUUUGGUACAAGAAGUAAAUUUGUCUUUCAAAAAGUGAGUUCAAUGCAAAAAUAAAAAAAGUGAAAUAUUUUUGUAUUUAUUUUUUAAACAACGCAUUUUUUUUAAAAAGAAAAUCAAGAAGAGAGAAUGAGGUUUCCAGGAAUGGAGGUGUUCAUACGCACACGUGCAAACCAAAUCCCCACACGUGUGACCCAAAACCCAGUGCAUGUUAAAACCGUGAAAUCUCGGACCCAUGAGUCACGUGUGUUAAUACAGAGCGAGACCAACAAAACAUUUUCCCUUCCGGAGAAACGAAGAGCAAAAAUGUGGAGAAGAUUGGUAUCAUCAUCGACGUCAGCUUCCCUUAAAACCCUAGCAUCGUCAUCGCGCCGAUCCUCACUGCCGACACUGGUCCGACCACUCACCUCUGUCUCUUCAUCUUCUCCUUCUAAUACGACUACUUUUCCUUCCCACAGUCCUAUCUCCUCCCCUUCCGGUAAUUUUCUUUUCUUUCUCUUACUUUUCUCGGCGAUCAUAUAUAUAGAUGGUUUUGAAUAUGUAUCGGAAAAGAAAAGAAAAUUUGCGAUCGGUCCAACAAAGUGUUACGAAACCGAAAUUUUGAGUGUGUGAUAGAAAACGAAUCCCUGGAUUCAAGUGAAUCUGUGGUAAUAGUUUGGAUGCGAUGAAUUUGAUUUGAUUUUUUUCUUUUGAGUUUCUAAACAGUAGGAUUCCUAUCCCACCUAUUUUUAUUUGGCUCCUCUAUGAGGUUUAGAUUUGGCUGAUUUAAGAUAUUUUGAUGUUCUCUUUUGGUUGGAAAUGUAAUUAUUGUUUUUAUUUUAUUUUGAAUAGAUUUUCUCUCAAAGGGGGGAAAGAAGGUUGAAAAUGUUAUACCCAUUGCAACCGGACAUGAACGCGAGGAGCUUGAGGUUUAUUUUUUGUUUGGGCACAUACACAUACAAAUGCAAAAAAUUUUGCAUUAAUUUAUCAUUUUUAGGAUUUGAUCGUAUGACGCUGAUUUAUUUGAUUUAUUUAAUUCAGGGAAGGACACUUCUUGAAGCGAAUUAUCCAAUUGGUCCAUUUGGCACUAAGGUUUGUUUCAAUUAAGUUUUUCUUAACUUUGUCACUUUGUAUUUUUAUUAUAAGGUAUUCAAUGGUGUUUAAUUUCAUUGCUAUCCAUAAAGAAAGGCUUUCAAUUGGGAUGAAAUGUUGGUCGCAUUUUGCUGCAUACAAUUGGAUUAAAGUUGUAACUCAAAUUUUAUGAAAUUUAAGAAGUUUCAUUUCUUCUUAGGAAUUGUUUUCAUGGAUUUAGGUUAUAUGGAAUUUAAAACAAAGUCUAAAUCUAUUGGCAUGUAAAGAAAGCAAACAAUGGUGAUACAAUUGGGGUCUCUAGUUCCAAUUCCACAGCCAUAAUUCCAUAGUCAGUGAGAUCUGUGUCCUUGUGUCUAGAUUUUUGAGGAGCUGUUGUGUUCAAUAAUCUCUUUCAAGGAUUUGUGGAAGGGUGUAAUUGAUUUGCUAGUCCGUAUGAUCUGUGUCCUUGUGUCUAGAUUUUUUAGGAGCUGUUGUGUUCAAUAAUCUCUUUCAAGGAUUUGUAGAAGGGUGUAAUUGAUUUGCUAGUCAGUAUGAUCUGUGUCUUUGUGUCUAGAUUUUUUAGGAGCUGUUGUGUUCAACAGUUUUCUUCUGUCAAGUCUGACUGUGUCAGUAAAGGCCAACCAUUAGGGGGUGUGGCAGUAUGAGUGCCACAUAGGAUAUAGCCCAAUCUAUAUCAUUACAAUCCCUUACUGUUCUCUUGAUAUUGGUUCAUUGUAUACUGUACAAGCUUGGAUCAUGAAAAAUCCAAGGAAUCUGAUUGCCACCUGCCGAUAACUGGUAAGCAUCUAAUGCUAUUGGUCAAAGAAACCAAAUGAUUGAGGAUUUUUUUUGUCUAUUAAAAAUAUGGCCCAUCAUCCAAACUUGUGAGAAAUGAGAAUGAAGACUCUAGACAUGAUAUGCCCAAAAUAGUAUGUAUUGCCUUUUGUCUUUGCAAAGCUAGCCCUUUUUUAAAGCAAUGAGCAAUCUUAGAGAUGCUUUGCAGUAAACUGACCUAUGGCGAGGAAACUCUGGAUCGUUUCACUGGAGGUUGUUUUCUUCAUGUACAGAUGUCUCUUGCUUUCUUUAGCUUAUGCCAUAUCCUGCUUCCCCUCAUUGUUAUUUUCCUAAAAAGAGCUAUUUAAGAUGGGCAUGUUUCUGGGACUUUAGACAUGCAUUAUUUCAGUAUUUGAUGAUAAAUAAACAUGUAUAUGCACAAAUUCUCAUUAUCUGCUUUAUGGGAGCAGAAGUAUCUACAAUUGUUGCGAAAUUUUUUUAAUCUCUCUCUAUCAAAAAACAGUUCUUGAUGAUGAUGAUGAUGAUGAUGAUAAUAGUAAUAAUAAUAAUAAUAAUAAUUCUAUAUGUCCGUGUUCCAUAGCCAUCCAACCUUUAUUCAACUAUUCUGAUAAUAAUAAAAAUCAUGUUUAUUAAACUGUUCCAAUAAUAAUAAAAAUAAAAAUCUGUGUUUAAUAAUUAUAUAUCUCUGUGUUGUAUAUCCAUCUAAGCUUUAUUCAACUGUUCUGAUAAUAAUAAAAAUCAUAUUUCUAUAUCUCUGUGUUCCAUAUCCAUCCAAGCUUUAUUCAAUUGUUGUGAUAAUGAUAAAAAUCAUGUUUCUAUAUCUUUGUGUUCCAUAUUCAUCCAAGCUUUGUUCAACUGUUCUGGAUUUAUUUCUGCCAACAGAGGGGUGCAAUGGCUGUUGGGAUGGAAAAACUUGGUAGUGUGUUAUGUUCACCUUGUUUUCUUGCAUAUCUUCCAAUUUAGAGAAUCCCAUGUUAAGACUGUCAUGGUAGAGAUGUGUCUGACAACUUUUACUGUGUAUGUCCCUUUUUGAAAGCUUUCUUGUGGAACUUAUAGUUGCUCAAAAUCGAUGAUUUAUGCUGUUGGGAGUAUCGCUUUUUAAUAAGCAGUAGAUAGAAGACUAAAGGAAGGAAACUUUGUUAUAAUUAUUGUUUAGGCCACAUAAUCUCCUUGUUCUUUUUCAUGCCUAUGUAUGUUUAAUUCUCCAAUUGUGCUUAAGGUUAUCUGCAUGUUGAAUAAUUUAAAAGCAUACUCUUGCAACAUCCUUUGUAAAAUUGCAUUCGUAACUAUAUACUGUGGGCUGAUCAGUGAGAUGGUUGUACAAUGAAUUUUCAAAUCAUAUUCUCAUAUUUCUGGUUGUCAUGUUUUACUUUGUAGGAAGCACCUGCUAUUGUUAAGUCUUUCUACGACAGAAGAAUAGUGGGCUGCCCAGGUGGUGAGGGAGGUAAGACCCUCUUUUGUAUUCUUUUCUUAAUUUUGUCCCUUCAACUAAUUCUUUCAUGAAUAUGUUUGAUAGUGUGAUAAUUAAUUGUCUUAUGUUAUUGAUUAUAAUUUACAGAAGAUGAGCAUGAUGUAGUGUGGUUUUGGUUGCACAAAGACCAACCACAUGUCUGCCCAGUCUGUUCUCAACAUUUCAAGGUAAAAUAAUCAUUUUCCUCAAAAUUAGUCAUUAUUUUACUCUCAUUCUGUGUGUGUGUUUGUUUGGGGGGGAACCAAUUUUUCCACGUUUGAACAGAAAUUUCUUCAGGUGAGGAGGCUCCUCUCUCUCUCUCUCUCUCCCUCUUUGUGGGGGGAAUCAAUUUUUCAAUGUUUAAAUGAAAAUCAGUGUGUGUGAGUAUUUGGGGUGGGGGAGCCAAAUGGCUCUCUUUCUCUCUCUAUAGGAACCAAAUUUCAGACAGUAAUUAUCUGAGGUUGAAGGGUUACCUCACUGCUGGGCUUUGUUCUUUUUGCCAUCUUUAUUAUUAGUAUAUCUUAAAGCAGAAAUUUUUGGAUUUUAAUCAAUGGAGCUUUCUUAAUUUAUUCUUUUAUGUUUCACAGUUGGAAGUAGUUGGCCCUGGUGGAUCUCCUUAUCACUACUAGCAUUGAAGGCUUCCUGCUGGAAUAAAAUUUUGUUUGAUGAAGAGCUAGUUUGCGCUGUGUAACUUUGAACACUUUUCAGUUUGUUCUUUUUGGUGGAUUCUGAAUUCUUGGGAAUAUCGUGUCAGACGCGAUAUUUGGGUAGGUGAUUUUUUGGUUUCAUAGCCUAGUCAUGGACCGACUGGUCCUCAAAUAAUUCUACCCUUCUACCCUGGCACUAAAUAAUUUCUGUAUCCCAAAAAUUUUGGCUUCUUUUGAACUCAAUAUCUUAUUCUUUCAAUGCCAAGAUGCUUGUGGUAUCACAUACAGCUAUAGACUAACAAGAAAUGAAUUAUAAUUUGUUGGAACUUUGAUACUAUCGUAACAAUGUUCAAAAGUCAAAAACUGCUAAAAUAGGGUUGAAACAGACAAGACAGCCCAGAUAUGGAGGUUUCUUCAAUGCAAUAAAACAUUGGAACCAUAAAAUUUCGAGGGAUAUAUGCUAAAUGAUCAUCUUGGAUAAUAUUAGUAUUGUCUUAGAACUGUUUAUACGUGUCUGCAGCUCUGCUUUGUGAAACCACUGCAGGCAUAUGACACACGGUUCAACCAUGUCAGCGGCUCGGAUUCGAGAAACUAUUACUGAGUGUCUCUCUAAAGCUCAAUCAGACUCCCCAGAAGUUCAGCAGAAAGCUCUCCAAACCCUGGCUUAUAUCACCAAGGUGAGUCCCCAAAACAGGAAUUUGCUUGCGCAAUCUGAUGGAGCUAUACCUGCCUUGCUUUCCCUCUCCAGAUCCUCCACCACCCUCCAGGCUCUCUCUUUAUCCAUCCUUUUCUACAUCUCCCUAAACCCUAAUCUGAAGCAGUCUCUUGCAGAGAUGGAAACCAUUUAUCACCUCAACUCCAUAAUUCUCUCCUUAAGCUCCCCAGAAUCCAGCAGACUAGCUUCCUCUUUGAUCUGCAGCUUGGCAAUGCUAGACAAGAACAAGGCCAAGUUUGGGGUAGCAGGCACCAUUCAGUCACUGGUGACCGCAGUGUCUGAUCCUGGAUGUCCUGCUGCCCAUCAUCUCCUUAGUUCUCUGGCCGAGCUGGUGCGGUUCCACGGAAACUGCACCUUAGCAGUCCGCUCAGGAGCUGUACCGGUCCUGAUCCAAGUAGCGCAAAGCAAUAACAGUGAGGACCUGGCUGGAACUUCUCUUGCUAUUCUGGGACUCCUUGCUAGGUUUGAAGAAGGGUUAAACGCCUUGAGGAAAACUGACCAGAUUGUGAAUUCAAUGGUAGACGUGUUGAAAGGGAGGUGCAUGUUGAGUAAGGAAGGUGCCGCAGAAAUCCUCCUCCGGCUGUUCGAUGAAAGCGAGGGCUGUGUGAGAGAUGCUUUGAGGCUGCCGGAGUUCCCAACUGUGCUGGCUGAUCUUUCUAUACGGGGAUCAGCGAGAGCUCGAGAGAAGGUUAGUUCAUUAAUGAAGAAGUUGAUGGAGGCCGACAUGGACGCCUACGGGGAUGGGAACUCCAUAUUUUUAAAAUGGUAGUAGAGGCUUGGCUUUAUUUAGUCACAAGGUUGAAGUGAUUUCUCCUUUUCCAGGGUUUUUCGCUGUCUGGUCGUGUAUUUUCAGCAGCCAUAAUCAUGCUGAGAAUGCAGAUGAAUUGAAUAUGAACAUUGUUAUAUUAGAAUUGAACCGGUAGCACUGUAAGUUCAAUCAAUACAAGCACCUCUGGUUUCUUCCUGAGAUUGGAAGUUGGGUAUUAAUUUAGGUUCAGGUCCAAUCUUAUUCAAACUUCAUCUGCAUUCUACUCCAUAUCUUUGGUUGCAGAUGAAUUCUGCGAGUAUGGCCUCCCUUGGUAGAUAAGAAAAUGUGUGCAUCGAAGAGACUAUAAUCUAUACUACUUUCUUUUCCUUUCCGGGAAUUUUUUUUUUUUUUUGAGUGAAGAAAUGGGUGAUCUUUGGUUGAAAAACAUGAUGAAAACUACAUGAGAAUCAGAACAGGUCUUCUCACAAGCAUUUGAUGCAUCACAAUCAUCUUAAUAAUAAUGAUAAGAAUACAACUGGGUUUCUAUUCCAUUCUGGCCAAAGGGAUAGAAAACAAAAUACAUGAAGGAUUUUAGGAUACCUUGUUUUAAUCUUAUGAGAUAGAUCGAAGCCCAUGAUCCAUAUAAACCCUAACGAACCUAAAGAACAUGUUUCCGAUGAUAGAGAUUAAAAAUGAACAAUUCAUUUCACCAUCCAUAUAAACCAUAAUGAAUCCUAAGAAUAUUUUUCAAACUCCAGGGUUGAAAAUGGAAAAUUCAUUCCAUUAUUUAUUUAUUUAUUAUUAUAAUUAAAUUAUUUAUUGAAAAUAAGAAUAAGAAUAAAAAUUUAUUCGUAUCACGGGUUGCUUUCUUCUCAUUUUUAUUCUUACAAACCAAAUGCUGUCUAAAAAGUCAUAUGAUUUUUAUUAAUAUGACGCAUGGUAAGGAUUUUAGGAUACCUUGUUUUAAUCUUAUGAGAUAGAUCGAAGCCCAUGAUCCAUAUAAACCCUAACGAACCUAAAGAACAUGUUUCCGAUGAUAGAGAUUAAAAAUGAACAAUUCAUUUCACUAUCCAUAUAAACCAUAAUGAAUCCUAAGAAUAUUUUUCAAACUCCAUAAUAGGGUUGAAAAUGGAAAAUUCAUUCCAUUAUUUAUUUAUUUAUUAUUAUAAUUAAAUUAUUUAUUGAAAAUAAGAAUAAGAAUAAAAAUUUAUUCUUAUCACGAGUUGCUUUCUUCUCAUUUUUAUUCUUACAUACCAAAUGUUGUCUAAAAAGUCGUGUGAUUUUUAUUAAUAUGACGCAUGGUAAGCGAUUAGUCGUUCGAAAAUUAAAUGCCCCGACAUACUCAACUAAUUAUUGAAAACUUUUAGCCUAAUCUCCAUUUUGAACCAUUCCUAUUGAAUAAAUUAAUCCUCAUUUGCAGUAUUUAAACUCCUAAUAGCAGAGUGGUGGCAUCAGCAUAUUAGAGAAAAAUUGUAUGUCUCCCAUCUCAUGAUUAUUUAAAUGGAGAGGCCAUCCAUCAACUUUAAAUUCUUAAGAUUUUUAUAAUAUAAGUAGGAUUCUCCAUGUUGGGUUAUGUGAUGGUUGACUAAUUAAAGCAAUCCUUAAUCUAAUCUACAAUAAAAUUACUUUUCCUCGUGAUUCCCCAAGCAUUCAUACCUUCAAUAGUUGUUAGUUAGAGAUCAUACAAAAUAAUUGAAUGAUUUAGACAUUUGAUUCUAAUUAAAGUUUGAUCAAAUUUAUGGGUUAGAAAAUAUUCAAGUCCACUUUAUUGGAAUAAAAGUUAGAAAAAUGUUGUUUCCUAAAAUUUUUAUUUUGAUUUAUAUAUAAAUUAUUUAAUAUUUAAUAAAAUUUUUAUAAAUAUAAAUAUUAUUUUUUAAACAUUUAAUUUGUCUACAACAUAAAAUAAGAAACUAUCUAAUGAAACCUAAAAAAAUAAUUGGAGUUCCAUGUAUCACAAAAACCUAAUCCAAUGCUUUGAACUUCACCUCAAUGUGUGAAAAUUCAUGAUUGUGAGCUAAAAACUUUAAUCUAGAUCAUCCUUUUUGAAAGUGGAAAAGAUGACAAUAUGAAGAAAUGACCCUUCUUUUGAUCUUGAAGUAAUCCUGCUUUUUCUCUUGAAACAAACAAGAUCUGAGUUUACAUUAUGAAAUAACUAAGGUACCCCUUCAAUCUCGAUCAGGUCUACUUCAAUUUUGUCCCUCUCCCACUAUCUUUAGCCAGUAGUGGACGGCCAAGUGGGUUUUGGAAGGGAGUGACAAAUGUCACAUGAGAGCAUAUUCAUAUGAGAACAAAUAAAAGUGCACCCUUUUGGUGACGUAUGAAAUUUGGCAUCACACCUUCUUGACAUAGAACAGUAGAAUGUGAUUGGCCCCACAAAAAACAUACGCUUUCAAACUAUAAUAAUUCAUCCAUGGAAAAUGCUGGUUUUGAAAAUGAUAGCCACAUGGAAUUAUUCAUGAAUAUUAGGACAAAGUUGGAGUACUUUCAGCUUAUCAACCUCAACCCCAUUAUCAUAUUUGUUCCUUCUUUCAUUUUCUCAUAUUCCUUGCUGAUUAAUUUUAUUUUAUUAGCAACAUUCUGAAGUUUUUAAAUCAUAUUAGAUUGGAAGCUUGAGAUUGAAUCCAGUGUUCAUCCAGAAAGGAAUUUUUUCCCUUUUUUUUCUCUGAAUGAUGAACAGUUUCAUGGGAUUCUUAGAGAACAACAAUUAUUCUUGAUUUUAUAAAAUUAUUAUUACAUGUGACGUGAUUGGACAAGAUCUGUAAAAGCAUUUUCGAAAGGAAAUUAUUGAUAUAUUAUUUUGAAUUCACUGUAUUGUAAUUUUCCUAGGAAAUAAAAUAAUUUUGUCUGUGAAGAGGAGAAGACUGAAGACUGAAGACUGAUUCGAUUGAAUGAGAGAGAGGAGGGUUGUGGGGGAAGAGUAGGUUGAGAAUAUGCAGGUGUUGGGGGGGCAUCUUGGUCAGAAAAUAAAUGUAAGAAAAGGACCAGUUUUGGAUUUUUCUAGCGUCUCUAUGUGCUGGGGAGUUUUUCUCAUGUAUGAACAGACAAAAACUAAAGGAGGUGAGAGAAAGUUGUGUGAAGCAAAGAAAGGUAUUACAGAGAGGAAAGAGAAAAGCCCAUAUGCUUUUGGGUUUGUUCUAUCCCCAGUCCAGGUUGGUACAAAAAGCAUAAACCCCACUUCUCCUUUUCACAUCCAAAUUCAAUCACUUUUAUUUUUAUUUCCAGCAGAUCUUUACUCUGUCUGCAAGUUUAUGCUACUUCCAUCACUCUUAUUCCCUCUUUUUUUAAAUAAAAGAAAUAUGUAUUGCCUCACUAAUCAAAUGAAGAUUUGAGUAGUUUUGGGGUUGUAUAUCAAUCAAACAUUACAAAUAUACAAAAGCAAAUGGAAAAAUAUCUUUUUUUUGCUGUUAGUAAUAUUUUGAUUUUUUUUUUUUGUGUGUUUUUGCAAAUAUUCUUGGGUUAUUGUAGUUGAAGUGCUUUACUUUACCCACUGUCCACAAGCAUAGAUUCUUUAUGUGCAUUACAAACUAGAGAGACUGGUGGCUGGGUCGUUCAUUUUAUGCAUUGAUGUGCUUUGAUCUGUUGUGGAUUCUUUGCUCACAAAAGAGUGCCCGCUUUUCCUUUUGUCACUUUCUUUAUCUCUUCUUUUCUUGGGUGCCUUUCUCUUUCUUAUAAUUUUUUGAAGGUCUCAAGCAGUGCUCAAAUUGUGUAAGCAGUGAGUGCUUGAUGCAGAUUCAUGGCUUAUAUUCCAUUUUUCACCCUCUCAAAUGGGUAUAAAUAGAGAUGGUCAAUUUUGAUUUUUAUUCAUUGCAGGUGCUCUUCUCAAUCAUUGCAACAAGUGGUCUGCACAAUAUAGUCAUUUUUGUGGAAAAAUAAAAUGAGCUUCAAUAGCUCCACUAUGGGUUCUGGUUAGUUUUUUUUUUUUGAACCUUUUCAGUGUCUGGGUUUUCUGGGAGCAUACGAAGUGUGUAUGCCUGCUAGUAACUAUGCUUCAUCUUUAGGUCUUCUAAGCUUUGUCCUUGGCCUUCUGGGUUUUUGUUCUGAAAUUUGUUACUGCAAUAUUUCAGGUAGUAGAACUACUAGAAGAACAUUUGAGUUUGGAAGGACCCAUGUGGUCAGGCCCAAAGGGAAGCAUCAGGCCACUAUAGUUUGGCUACAUGGCCUUGGUGACAAAGGUUCAAGGUAUUAAUGCUGGUUUCUUAUCAUUAUAGUCUUCGCUGAUAUUGGCAUUCCUUUGGUUAUAAAUUCAAGAUGUUUCUUUCCCUUGUUUUCAUCUGAACUUUUUGUGAGGCAAAACCAUCGAGCUGCAUCUUAUAUACCUAGUUUGAGUAAUGGGAUUGAAGUGAGUUGAAUGUACAUGGUAGUUUGUUUGGUUAAGUUUAUACACAUUGUGUUAUUCCCUGCUUUCUAAGCACCAUUGAUGAAGUUCAAAGUCUUUCUCUUCGUUUUAGGAAUAUGCCUGUGUGAGAAUGGUGGACUGGUUUUGUUCAAAAGAAAAAAGGGAGUAAGAGAAUGUCAAUGUCUUGUCUUGUUCAUGUGGAGAAUUUUGAUGUUUAAUUAACUUCUUGAACCUUGUCUUCUUCUAAAAAAUUCACAUUCUGAUUGAUUUGAUGGGGGAAGAACUAUGUGCCAUGGAUUAUAUAAGAUAUCAUGAGCUGUCGUUUUCUUCCAUCAUCUCUCUUGAUUCUAAGUUUUAUUGGAGCAGCCUCGAAUCUUAAAACUGUAUAUGCCAAAACCUAAAAUGGGGGACCACUGUUUCACUGUCUUGCUUGUCCUUUCAGCUUUGCAAGAGUUAUACUAUUUAUAUUUAUAGUGCUAAUGCUUAAGUAUUAUUCCC